UACGGGGCCCUCCAGGCCCAAUCGAUGGGGCAGGUCCCUCUAAGGGGACCGUAGGCUGAGGGGUGGAAGUGGAAGUGGAAGGCUUGUUCUUGCCUUUAGUUUUUGAUUUGGUCAUUUGGUCUAUUGGAUAGGGCAGAGGCAAGGCAAAUGUGCACAAAGGAGGUCAACAGGCAGCUGAUUCAGUAAAAGGGUCCUAAUCACAGCCUCCAGUCACAGACAAGUGCACAACCAAACAAUAAAAUUACUCCAAGAGUCAAUUAAUCCUGUGAAGAAGCAAAAAUACUGUCCAAACACUACUAAAUCAACCCAAAAUUCACUUAAUUAGACAAUCGCAGCAAAAUUCCCCCAAAAACUAAUAAAGCAGGCAACCAGGGUAAAAAUUCACCCCAACUAUCACUGAGUGAGCACAAAAUUUGACAAUUAGUUAGCAAUCACCCACGGAUAUAGCACAGCACCCAAAAUCGAGCACAAAAUAUCUAUCCUCAGCUAGCAACCAAAAAGAAUCUGGCCUCAGCUAAGAAAAUAAAAUCUGGCCUCAGCUAUUUAGUGACAGAAAAUUAAAGAAAGAAAUCACCAUGGGGGAUAACCGGCAGUUGCUAUGGGUGGGGCGUUGUAGGCCGUGCGAAGGCAGCUGGUGGCUGGUGAAGCUGCGCAGAGAGGGGGAGACGUCGCGCACUGGUGCUUGCUGAUUCGCGCGCGCCUGGGCAGGACUGCCGCUGGGGAUGCGCGCUGGGCUCGCUGCGGCUGGCUCUGCCUAGCGGGCUUGGUGCGCGAUGGCCGUGGCAGCGAUCUGACGGCUUGCGCUUGCUGCUACAAGAUAACGCGAGAGCUGGAGCUGGCGAGCAAAGGGGGUUGCGCGUCUGUUGCUUUGGCCGCUUGCUGCGCGCGGCGGCUGCUGGACGCCUCAAGUUGGGCUGCUGCUGAGCAAGGUGCGGACGCUCAGGAGGGAGAGGCAGCAGCGGACUGGGCAGCGAAGGGGAAGAUGGGCGGCGAGCUGGCGGAGUGCGGCUGGUCAGUGGCGGACGCGGGCUGGUAGUGACGGCGGCAGGCGUGGGCUGAUCUCAGAGGGGGAGAAAGGAAGUGGCGGACAGCAAGUGAGAAGCGGCGGCCAAGGGAGUAGGGAAGAAGAAGAAAGAAAAGAAAGAAGAAGAAGAAAGAAAAAGAAAAGAAAGGAGAAGGAGAAAAAGAUUACGGCUCCGGGUCUUUGAAAAUUUUCCUUUCUUCUUUUGUUUUCUUCCAAGGGCAAAUUGGUCUUUUACUCCUUUUGUUUUUUUUUAUUUAAAGAAACCUCUGGCUUAGGCGUGGGCACGCCUAACUGCUAUAGAGUCCGCAGAUCUUGAACGAAAGUUUCUUUCCUUCCGGCGUGACCACCUGGCGUGGGCACGCCUAACUACCAUAAAGUCCGCAGAACAAUUCUCAGAAAUUGAGUUCUGUCAGGCGUGACCACCUGGCGUAGGCACGCCUAACUGCCAUAGAGUCUGCAGAUCUUGAACGAAAAUUUUUUCCGUCAGGCGUGACCAUUUGGCGUGGGCACGUCUAACUGCUGUGGAGUUCGCAGAACCUGAGCGAAAAAUUCUUUUUCCUCAGGCGUAGGCACGCCUAACCACUGAUCUCCUGCCACCAAACAUCAAACCAUCAAUUGACACUAAUACUUAACUAAAACUUCAAAAAUGCAUGAAAACUGAAACAAAUAGUCUUGGGUUGCCUCCCAAGUAGCGCCUUUCUUUAACGUCUUUGGCUAGACAUGGCCAGGACCCUCAAGCAUGAUAAGGUGGAUCUUGGAGGUGUUUAACUUCCACUUCUUCAACAGAGAAUCCCUCAUAAUAAGGUUUGAGACGAUGGCCAUUCACCACGAACUUUUUCUCCGUUUUUAAACUUUGGAUCUCCACUGCACCAUAAUGAAACACAUUAGAAACGACAAAUGGACCAAUCCAACGAGAACGCAACUUACCGGGAAAAAGUUUAAGUCUCGAGUGAUACAAGAGGACUUUUGUCUCCACUACAAAAGAUUUUCUGGAAACCUGUUGAUCAUGAAAGAUUUUACUCUUUUCCUUAUAGAUCGUGGCAUUCUCAUACGCUUCAUUUCUUAUCUCAUCUAACUCUUGUAGUUGCAAUUUCCUUUGGACCCCUGCUUCGUCAAAUCCCAUGUUACACUGCUUCACUGCCCAAAACGCCUUGUGUUCGAACUCCACGGGGAGAUGGCAAGCCUCACCGAAAACAAGUCUAUACGGGGACAUCUCAAUCGGCGUCUUAUACGCGGUUCUGUACGCCCAUAGUGCGUCUUCUAGUUUUAAACUUCAAUCCUUCCUAUCCGGACGCACCAUCUUCUCCAAGAUCGACUUGAUUUCCCUGUUUGACACUUCGGCCUGACCGUUUGCCUGUGGGUGAUACGGUGUGGAUAUUUUAUGGAGUACACCGUAUUUUUGAAACAAGGCAGUGAUAGUCUUGUUACAGAAAUGUGUCCCCCUAUCACUUACCACCGCUCUUGGCAUUCCAAAGCGGACAAAGAUAUUAGAUUUUAAGAACUCUGCAACCACUUUAGAAUCAUUAGUACGGGUGGCUUUUGCUUCCACCCAUUUAGAAACAUAAUCUACAGCAAGUAAAAUGUAUAGGAAACCAAAAGAUGAGGGAAAAGGACCCAUAAAAUCUAACCCUCAAACAUCAAAAAUUUCAACAAACAACAUGGGGGUUUGAAACAUUUGGUUCCUACGAAAAAUAUUCCCCACCCUUUGACACCUAUCACAGGAUUUACAGAACAAAUAAGCAUCUUUGAACAGGGUAGGCCAGUCAAAGCCACUCUCCAACACUUUGCGAGCUGUUCGCUUGGGCCCAAAAUGCCCUCCACAUGCAAACGAAUGACAGAAAUUUAAAAUGGAGUGAAAUUCACCUACACUUACACACCUCCUGAGCACUUGAUCCGAACAUUGUCUCCAAAGGUAUGGGUCGUCCCAAAUGUAAUAUUUGGCAUCACUCUUCAACUUAUCUCUCUUAGCCUUCGGCCACCCUGCAGGCAAUUGAUUCGUCACUAAGAAAUUUACUAAAUCGGCAUACCAGGGUACAGACGCGUUCACAGCAAGUAGUUGUUCCUCUGGAAAUGCCUCCCUCAAUGGUGGCUCCUCCUUAUGAGCAAGUAGGCGGCUCAAGUGAUCAGCAACUAAAUUUUCUGCCCCACUUUUAUCCUUAAUCUCCAAGUUGAACUCCUGAAGGAGUAGGAUCCAUCUGAUGAGCCUUGGUUUAGCAUCCUUCUUCGUCAUCAAGUAUCUCAAGGCUGCAUGAUCAGAGAAAACUGUUAUUUUGGCACCUAACAAAUAAGGUCUAAAUUUUUCUAAUGCAAAAACCACAGCUAGCAAUUCUUUUUUGUUGUAGAGUAGUUGAGUUGAGCUCCAUUUAACGCCUUCGAUGCAUAGUAGAUUGCAUGUUUGCAGCUCUACCAAUCCGUUGCCCCAGCACCGCUCCCACUGCAUAGUCACUGGCGUCACACAUUAUCUCAAAUGGGGGGCUCCAGUCUGGAGGUUGGAUAACAGGCGGUGAUGUCAGUGACUCCCUCAAUCUGUCAAAUGCCACCUUGCACUCUUCGGUGAAGUCAAAUGCCACGUCCUUCUGCAAUAGUUUGAACAGGGGUGCUCCAAUUUUUGAGAAAUCUUUUAUGAAUCUCCUGUAGAAACCUGCAUGACCCAAAAAGGAACGCACCUCCCGUACACUUACAGGGUAAGGCAAAGCAGAAAUAAUAUCGACCUUUGCUUUAUCUACUUCUAUACCCCUGGCCGACACUACAUGCCCUAAAACAAUACCAUGAUCCACCAUGAAAUGACAUUUUUCCCAAUUUAGAACUAAAUUUGCUUCAAUGCAUCUCUUCAAAAUUAAAGCUAGAUUAUCCAGGCAUUCAUCAAAACUAUCCCCAUACACACUAAAAUCGUCCAUAAACACCUCAAUAAUCUUUUCUACAUACUCAGAAAAUAUACUCACCAUACACCUCUAAAAAGUUGUUGGGGCAUUGCAGAGGCCGAAAGGCAUCCUCCGAUAUGCAAAUGUACCGAAGGGGCAGGUGAAGGUAGUUUUCUCCUGAUCCUCUGGUGCUAUCGCUAUCUGAAAAUAACCAGAGAAACCAUCAAGAAAACAGUAAUAGACACGGCCAGCUAACCUUUCUAUCAUCUGAUCAAUAAAAGGUAGAGGGAAGUGGUCCUUCUUUGUCACAGCAUUCAGACGCCGGUAAUCAAUGCACUAGCGCCAUCCUGUAGGUUUUCUCACCGGGACCAUCUCACCCUCUUGGUUCUCCUCAACAGUUACUCCCGCCUUUUUCGGAACUAUUUGCACGGGGCUCACCCAAGGACUAUCUGAGAUGGCGAAGAUGAUCCCCACCUCUAGGAGUUUAAGUAUCUCCUUCUUGACCACUUCCAUCAUUAGUGGGUUCAAUCUCCGUUGCCCUUGUCUAACUGGCUUUGCAUCAUCCUUAAGCCGGAUCCGAUGCAUGCAUAAGGAGGGGCUAAUUCUUUUGAUAUCUGCUACACUCCACCCAAUCGCCUCCUUAUGAUCUCGAAGAAGGCGAAUCAGGUUGUCUUCUUGCCUUGGUGAUAAGUGUGCAGAUAUGAUGACUGGUAACGUCUCAUUAUCUCCGAGAAAUGCAUACUUCAGGUAUUUCGGAAGAGGCUUGAGCUCCAACUCAGGUGCCUGCAUAAUUGAAGGCAACAAUUUCGUCUGAGUUUCUGGUACGAAAACAGACGUAAGCUCAUACCUCGGGGAGAUUGGUGGAAGCGAAUGCAGUGCUCCAACUGCACAAUAUAACUCAUCGCUCAGUCCCACAUCAGGAGUUGCUCCCAACUCAAGAUGUUUGGCUAAUGCCACUGCUAGUGCAUCAACCCCCUCCAAUUCAAAUAUUUCCUGCACAAGGGGCUCAACAACACUUAAAGCAUAAACAGAGUUAGACUCAUUUGGGUACUUCAUCGCAUCAAAAAUAUUAAAAUUUACAAUUUUCUCAUCGAACUCCAUCGACAAAGUACCCUCAUUUACAUCUAUUUUGGUCCUAGCAGUGCUUAAAAAUGGUCUACCUAACAAAAUAGGAGACGGAUUUAGUGCCCUUUCAUCCCCCAUGUCUAGGACAUAGAAAACUGCAGGAAAAACUAACUCAUUGACCUGCACCAAAACAUCUUCAACUAACCCUUCUGGGUAAGCAUUGAUGCGGUCUGCAAGUUGGAUUAUAAUGCCUGUGCCUUUUAAUGGACCAAGAUUAAGGGACGUAUAAAUUGUUUUAGGCAUUACAUUGAUUGACGCCCCUAAAUCCAACAUUGCCUUCCUAAUCGAGACACCUCCUAUCUUGCAGGGAAUGGUGAACAUACCUGGGUCUCCACAUUUUGGUUGGAGUUUCCUUUGGAGCAUGGCUGACACAUUUUCUCCCACCGCCACUCGUUCAUCUCCCCUUAGCUUCCUUUUGUGGGUGCACAAGUCCUUCAAAAAUUUGGCAUAUUUUGGUAUCUGCUUGAUUGCAUCCAGUAGGGGGAUGUUAAUCUCUACUUUCCUGAAUACAUCCAAAAGUUCCUUUUCCUUUUCUACUUUUCUUGUCUUCGCCAACCUGGAAGGGAAAGGAGGUAAGUUAGAUGUAGUAGUGGGUGGAGAAGUGAAUGUUACCUUAGGAUCUUCUCGGAUACGUUUUUCCUCUUCAAUUUUCUUUUCUAUCUCCUCCUCACUUUUGCUUUUUGAAUUUUUCACUGUAGGCCCUUCCAGUUCCUUGCCACUCCUUAGCGUCAUGGCACUUACAUUCUUGGGAUUUACCUCGGGUUGCGAUGGCAGUUUCCCAUAAACGUGAGACUCCAAGCGGUUGAUGGCAGUUGCCAGUUGACUUAUUCGAACAUCUUGGUCCUUCUUGUCAGCUUUGGUGUCCUGCUGGAGCUGUGCGGUAUUCGCGGCCAAGGAUCUGAUCUCCUAUUGAAGCUGUGUAGUAGUCGUGGCCAGGUUGGUAGUAGUCGUGGCCAGGUUCUUGACUAGGUCCUCCAAGGAGCUUCCUGUAUUGGAGGAUGAGGGUUGAGAUUUUGGUUGCCAAGGCUGGUGGAAUCCUGGUGGACGAUUCGGGAAUGAACCUUGUUGCCUGUUCCCAUAACUGAGAUUGGGAUGGUCUCUCCAACCGGGGUUGUAUGUGUUGGAAUACGGGUUAUACUGCCUGCGGGGCGCGGGCACGCCUCCGGCCAUAUUUACCUGUUCCGCCCCGUUCUCUUGCAGAAUGGGGCACGAAUCCGUGCAGUGGUCCAUGCUAGUACAGAUUCCACACACCUUUGCUCGCGGUGUGUCUCUCAUGGCCAAUUGCCUGACAGCAGAUGUCAACUCAGACAGUUGCUGUUGGAUGGAUGACGUCUCUGCCUCAUUGACUCUACGGGUAGGAUUGCUCUCACGGAAAUCGAACUGCUGAGAGUUUUCUGCCAUGGCUUCAAUAAGGUCCCACGCUUCCCUCGGUGUCUUGUUCGCCAGGGCUCCUCCACUCGGAGCGUCAAUAAUACUCCUGUCAGUUGACUGGAGUCCCUCAUAGAAGUACUGGAUCAACAGUUGUUCACUAAUCUAAUGUUGUGGGCAUCUAGCGCACAACUUGUUGAACCUUUCCCAAAAAUCGUACAAUGACUCCCCGGAGUACUGCUUGAUGCUGCAAAUCUCUUUCCGCAAACUUGCAGCCCGGGAUGCGGGGAAAAAUAUCUCCAGGAAUUUCUUCUUCAAUUGUGCCCACGUGGUGAUACUACCUGCAGGUAGGUAGUAUAGCCAAUCCUUCGUUGCAUCCUUGAGAGAGAAAGGAAAGGCUCUCAGUCUUAUUUGCUUCUCAGUGAUCCCAAGAGGUUUCAUGCUAGAGCAAACUAUUUCGAAUUCCUUGACAUGUUUGUGGGGUUCUUCACCAGAAAGACCAUGGAACGAAGACAGGAGCUGAAUCAACCCCGAUUUCAGCUCGAAAGAGGUAUUUUCAACCAGAGUUGGGAACGUGAUGCACAAGAGCUGAUGAGUCAGGUCUGGGGUAGCCAGCUCCCUUAAUGUCUGGGUGUUGGCCAUGCUAAAUUCGUUUUCUACUGACUCGUUUGCAGAAAAUAAGUGCCCUUCUUUUCGUCUCUUCGUCUCUUGCCUUCGCCUACGCGCUACCUUCUCAAAUUCAGGAUCGUAUACCAAGUCACCUGUGCGAGAAGAACUGGGCAUAAACUAGCAAAAAUAUCAAGAAAAAGAAAAAUAAAAUAAAACAAAAUAAAAACUGAAUUAAAAAAGAAGCAGAUAAUUCAAACACCAGUCCCCGGCAACGGCGCCAAAAAUUGACAGGUGCCGAACCUGUGCAAUAAUAAUAAAUAAAUCCUAACUACCACCUGAAACAGUCAGUAAUCAAUUCGAGUACUGGAGCAGGGACUCUAGGUGUGCAAUGGGUUACUUGAUUCACCAUGUUCCCGAAGAGUUUGCUUAAUCCGAUAUACCUGAAUUAAUUAUUUAACUGAAUUCCCUAACUAGUAGGCAGUGGUAAGUAGGGUCAUCUCCUCAGGGACUAGCAAGAUAUUUUGCUUCUUUUCAAAUCAAGAUUAAUGGGGGUUUUGGUAUCAAAUGCCAACUAAACGAAUUAAAUGCAGAAAUUAAUUAAUUGAAAGAAAUAACUAAGAGAAACUCUAGCCAAGGGUACACUUCAGAAAUGCUUCAAGCACUGAUCAUUGAUGCAGAAAUAAUCCCAACAUUUAUUAAUAGAUUGGUUAUAGUUGCCAUACAUGCCAUAAACAACCAACCCUUCCUUAAUUUAUCGAUAGCUAAGGUACGACCGUUAGCUAUUUCUCUAACCCGAAAACAACCCUAGGUACGACCGUAGGAUUUAAUUUUUAGGUUGCAUUAUUAAUUAGAAAGGCCCAAUCCUAGCUAACAAACACGCUACGAGGGUUUGCUUAAGCUAGAUUAAAUAUUCCCCUGGCACAAAUCCAAUUAUGCCAGUUGCUACUGGGAUAGAGAUAACGAACAAUUACGGAUUCAAUUACCCCUAUAUAGCAGAAUAGCCUAUGUGAAUAAUCAAUUACUGCGCACUAACCAAUCAUACACAAGGCUAUAGCGAUUAAAAGCAAGGAAUAUAUAAAUAUCAAUAAAUGAAGAGAACAAUUAAUAAUGGUUUAGAUCUCACAGUAUUAGUUGAACCAAUUCAUCAGUUGCCCCCUUGUCUAGAAUUAGGGGUUUAGUUCCCCAUGAUUUGAUGACAGGCCGCGCGUGUGGAGGUUGUGAAAGUUUUCAAAUCUAUUUUUCCCCUGCUUCGGUCGACACCGAGAGGAUACACCAGGAAAUUUCUUAUUACUGCCAAUUUUCCUCUAAAGCAUGCGUCGGAUAGUCUCCCAAUUUUUUGUCAAAAUUGAGUAAAGAGGAAAACCCACAAAGUCCACAAUGGCGGCUGCACGUUGCUUUUUCUUUCCUUCCUCACAAAGGAGACAUACGAGAGAUUUUGUUUCAAGUGCUUGAUUUCAUGGGUCAAGGCUAAUCAAAUCUCACAAGCAUCCCCAAAAGUCAACAAAAAUGGCUAUUGCCUGUUGCCUUUCUCUCUACAAAGCUGCGGCUCCCUCCUCUGCCUCUCCUUUUCUCCAAAAACAAAGACAAGCCCCCUUAACCUAAGCCGCGCGAGAGAUAAAUACAAUCCCCCACAAUAGCCGAAAAAUUGUUACUUGUUUCAAAUUGCAGCCAGACUCCCUAGAAAUAUAUUAAAAUAAAAUCUAUUACAAUUAGGUUUCUUCAGCUUCUCAAACGGGCCCCACGUCCGAUGAAUCUUCUAAAAGUUGAAUUUAAGCACUUUUCAGCAACCAUUCCUGCAAUUAGCACCAAAACAAAAUAUCAGUAGAAUUCACCCAAUUAACGAAAAUAUUUAGUCAAUUAAUUGUGCAAUAAUGCCCAAAAUACCCACUAAAAGGUAACCUAUCACUAGAUCUGAAUGGAAGCAGGUCGAAAUUAUGGAAAACAGUACUAGAAAUUUACUUCUUAGGGUGACGAACAGGGUUUGUUUGCUGGACCAUAACUCACAGCUCACAAAUCCAAAUAAAAAAAUUCCAAAGGCGUUGGAAAUCUAGGACAUAAGGCUAUAACUUUCAUGUUUGGACCAAAAGCUGAAUCAAUACAGAGCAUGGAGGAGAAUGGGUCCAAACAUUCCUGUCAGAACUGUCCAAAUUCGAAGGCAGUUCUGACAACCGAUCUUGUUUUGGUCAUAACUGGAGCUACGGGACUCGAAUUUGGAUAAACUUUAUACCGUUUCGAAGCUAACAGAAAGGUCUACAAUAUUGAAGAAGGCCACUCAGUCCAGUUUGUGAUGCAACUAGGUCAACAUGUCAACGUACCAAACCAGAACCGCAAAAACAGGUUAACAAACUGCAUUCUGGUUAACGAACCGUAAUUCAGGCUACCUAAGUCCAAAUCAAGUGAUUCCAAAGCCAUCCGAAAGCUAAGACACCAGGCUACAUUUCUUAAGAAGACGUCAACAACCAAAUCAGAAGUAUUCCUAACCAAAUUAACCAAUUACAGAAGCAAUUAUCAAGUUCGGAUAGAAAUAGGGCAGCAGGGUAUUUCGGUCUUUUCACCGGCUACGUUGCUUCGAUUAAGCUGAAAUUUUGCAGGAAUUUCUAAAAUAUCAUUCCCUACAACUUUUAUGUUUUAACCCAAGGCUAAUUCGGUCUCUAACUAUGACGAACAGGGCCGGGCAGAAAGGGGGUAAUCGAAACCCUAAUUCCGAAAUUUUCCGUUCAAUGCGGAAAUUUUCCGCAAAUAGCCGCUAUCUUAACACUAAGGUUUCAUUCUAAACCAUUUCCAACCAUCAUACAUGGCCACAUAAUAUUAAUCAUAUGAAAACAGAAAAAUCCCACAUAAAUAGAAAAAUUCACUAAUCUUAACUAAAAUCAAGAAAUAAUCCACCAAAUCACACUUAUAACCACCACAAGUCAUUAAUUAAACAUCAUUAGAUAGAAGAGAGGGGUUCCAUAGUCACUCACCUUAGUAACCAAAGAAAAGAGACCACUUAGCACCUUAAGCUUCCAAAUAACAUCACCAAUCACCUAAAUACCCCUAAACUAAUAGGUUUUAUGGAGUAAUUUGAAAAUUAACCGGUUGGAAUGAAAGAUUGAGCAAGAUUGAAGGUAAGAAAAUUGAGUAGUUUUUCUUCUUUUUUCUUGAGCAAGGGCCGGCCAAGAAGCUUGAAAAUAAGGGUGAAUUUUGGUCAAUUUUUUAUUUAAAUAGUAAAAGGAUGAAUAGUGGUCAAGAAUCAAGACUUAAUCUCUAAGUGACACUUGUCACUUUCAUUAAAUGCAUAGCUAUCUCUUUGUUCCUCUCACACCAAUCCACUUGGUAACCUCUAAUUAUCUUAUAACACCCGGUAAAUUAAACCCAGUAUCCAAAACUUAACCUAACUGGCCGAAUUUUACUGAACUUUCCUCAUUAGUGGGCCCCACAUCCGAUAUGUGUUCUUAAUUUCUCAAAAACUAACUGAUACUAGAAAAAUCAUCUAAAAACUAUAUUUAUUCGAUAAAAUUAUCUGGGGAAUUUUCUAAUAAAGAAAAUGUCGAAAAAUACGGGCGAUCAAUAAAAUAAACCCUAGAAACUUAGAAAAUUUUCGGGUUCUCGCACUCAUUCUUUCAGGGCGUCACAACCUCCUCCACUUAGAACAAUUUCGUCCUCGAAAUUGAUACCUUUAUUCGUGAACCGAAAUUGCAGGGUUACAAGAAUAUGUGUCGUCAGGGUCUAUUCAACACUGGCGGUGCACCGAUAUGAAAGGGCGUACCUUCGAUGCCCGCCAAAGGGUCAAUCACCUCUUGACCCAUUGCGUAUACUUUACGUGGUCCUUUGGGUCGAUUUUUCCCUGCAUUUGAUGGCUUAGUUGUAACCCCUUCAGUUGGUGGCUUAGGUUUUUCCUUUUGCAUCUUAGGGCACUGGGCAAUCAGAUGUUCUGCACUACCACACUUAUAGCAUCUUCGGAUCGAACUGUUCUUCCAACAGUUUUCGUCAGUGUGAUUGGCCCCACAGAAACCACAGAUUGGCUUAAUGCCCACACUUGGCCCUCCACGCUGGGCACUCCUCUGGGGCUCUUGCCCUACUUGACCUCUUCCAAAAUUACCCCGGUUUAGGGUUCCUGCGGGUCGGGAACCAUCUGUUCCUCGACUCCUCUUAGAAGGUGACUCACUUUGCGAACUCUGUCCAGUCACAAAAUGGCUCGAAUCGGGUUGUCUCCGUUUCCGAUCAUGAAAGGAUUUUACCUGUCCCCUAACUGUCUCAAUCCGCUGUACUUUUUCUAACGUCUGGCUAAAUGUGUCCAACUGAGCAGUUGCUAGAGCCUCUUGGAUCUCCACAUUCAAGCCUUGGACAAAGCGGCGAAUUCGCUUCUGCUCCGUUAGCACUAAUUCCGGAGCGAAGCGAAAGAGUUUUGUAAAUUGGGUUUCAUAUUCCGCCGCUCUGGAUGCCCCUUGGCGCAGGCGGAUAAAAUCAUCCUCACGUCUCUCUUGUACAAUAGGAGGUAAGUAUUUUUCAUUAAAUUCUCGUGUAAAAUUGACCCAUGUCCAGGGGGUCUGUUCCCGCUCCCACUUGGCUCUAAUCACAUUCCACCAGACUCGGGCGGCCCCCUCAAACUGAAAAACAGCAAAAGAUAUCUGCCGCUCCUCCGAAUACCUAAGUGCGGCAAAUAUAUCUAACAUACGGUCCAUCCAGUUUUCUGCUAGGUCAGGAUUAGGUCCACCUACAAACUUGGGAGGUGCAAAUUUUUGGAACCGUUCUAAAGUACGGCCCUCUCCCUCGUGAUUGCCUGGAUUAUUUCCAGAGUUUCCUGUAGUAUUCCCAUGACCCUGACCCUGCUGGUCAACCAUACGUUCUAACAAGUCAGCCAUCCAGCAUCUGGCUCUUGUUCUUGUUCCCUUUCAGGACUUCGUCCUCGCCCUCUACCUCUACCUCGAGUACCGGAGGCCAUUAGGUGCAAAAGUCUAUAGAUCCAAGCAUAACGUGUGCUUAGUAUUCAAACUCGAAACAAAAUAAACAUACAAAACAAAAUACACGAAAGGCACGCAAAGGAUAGGUGCAAAAGAUAAUACUCGAAUAUAUACAUUUAUUUACAAAGUCACACCAAAAGAUAUACAAAUUACCCGACCUCCAGUCAGUACAAAACCCAGUACACACACGAGCACUCCGGCUCCAAAAAUCUAGUCAGUCAACCAGAUAACAAAAGAAAUUAGCCAUGCCAGUUCUAACAAAAGUAAUCUGCCAGUUAAUCAAAAAUACAAAAGCGACCCUAAACGCCUCCCCUAGGGCCCCGGUUCCCAACGGAACCUAAAGUAUCUAUCUCGCCUAUCUGCUCUGGUCCGGUAGCUCGCGGCGGUGCCUCCGCGGCCAUAUCUAGUAAGACCCCGCAGUCAAACGUGAUACUCCGGGCCCUCUCCCUAAGCUGCCUCUUCAUAGCGAAGAGGUGCUGGUGUGUGUCUCGGAGGUCCCGCUCCAGGUCCCUAACGCGCAACGCCUGCUAGCGGCUAAACUCUCUAGCCUUCUCCAGCUGCGCCCUCAAAGUCUCGACCGUCCUGUUUAGGUGAUAACGCUCAUCAUCCACCGCUAAGAUGACCUCGUCGGGAUAGCCAUAUGUAUACCAACACGCACAGGGUCGGCGCGACACCUGACCAAAGGGGGAAUACAAAAUGUAGGACUCCCCAAACCUCUUCCGAUAUCGGAUCGCACGCUUACGCAACACCCGGUCCUCCGGGCCCCUCACAUCAGGAGGUCUCGGUCCCGGUCCCACGCCGCUAGGUCCAACACCACUAGAACUGCCUGGGUCCAUACCUACAAACAUUAAUUCGUUAGUUAGCCGGCAUUUCACCUUAAAAUAUAUCAUUCAUCUUAAAGAGAAUCACGUAUUCCUAAUGAACCUAUCACGUAUGUCUCACAAUUGCUCAAGUCCUUCAACUUAGGCGCUCUGAUACCACCUAUGAUGCCCCCGCUUCUCCCAAGGGCGAACCCUAGGGUAUCGGCGGGACGCCUGCCUAACUCGCGCCAGGACUCAAAAUUUUAAAACAAUAAAACUAGAUAUACCCACAAGCGUACUAUUCACAAUAUAUCUAACGCCAAAAGAGUUCUAUUUACAACUUCAAAAGUAUCGAGUCAAACCACUCUAAUACAUUAUAAUAACAACUAGCAGAAGGUAGACCCUAAGGAGGGUUCUUAUACAAACCACCAAAACAAAAACACACAUCCUAACUGUCCGACUAUUACAAUCAAACCUAACUAUACUAGUGAAGGUGCCAAGAAGUUCCCCGCGUCGUCCCCUGCUAAGGAAAACAAAGGAAACGGGGUAAGUUAGAAACUUAGUAAGUAAAUAGGGGUAAAAGCGUAAAUUUCACAUUUAAAGAAACAACUAUUUCACAAAAUGUCAAGUCAAGCACAAAAGUAACAAUACAAAGGAAGGAUACAGGUUGGCUCCAAAGCCAAGUCAUUUGCCAUGCGUGAUCUCCUGUCGACACUUCGUCGACCAUAAAUAAGGUCCGUAGAACUCCACUUGUAUACCCACCGAACACCUUAUCACCCUCACUGGCCAGUCACCUCACAAACUUGCCCGGGCGAACGAAAUCACAAACUUGAGCUUGAGUCACAAGCUCGGGUCACAAAUUUGAUUCACAACUGGAACCUACAAACUUGGUGACCUCAGACUAGGUUGGACUGGCUCCGACCAAGCCCCGGCCGAUUCGAAUAGUCCAUCCAGAUCUUGAGAUCUGGCCCACAACUCCAACAUAUUUCACGAACUCACGAAAGUCACCCCGAGCUCCAAGCUCAAGGGGUUCAACCCCAAAAUAAUUCAUAUAUACACAUCUCAUGGAGAAACAUAGGUACAAAUUAGGGUUUAGUUCGAGUGUGAUAAAGUACACCCUCGCCUAAGUUCCCCUUUUCAUAUCAAAACACAUAAGCAGUUUAUACACAUAAACGGCCUGAAUACUUACCCAAAAUACAAAAGUAGUACAAGAGCAAAAUCACUUCGCGCGUGUUCGCUUGUAGUGGGCCCCACCGGCUCCGCCUAACUCACCACUGUCUGAAAUAGAAAAUUGUAUCACAUAUUAUCACAAACGGCCACUAACAUGCCCAAAACAAGCAAAACGACAAAAUUGGCACAUGCAAGUGCGGAAAUGGCAAAAUGGGCGCACGCGCGCGCGGAACGGCAAACGGAAAUGGCCAAAUCUGCCAUUUCAAACCGUUUUGAUCAAAAGUUAGGCUAGAAAUGUCAGAUCAAGGUGAGCGAGACACCAUUUCGAAGCUAUGAGGAAGGGCUAUAAUUCUCCUGAAGACAUCUUAAUUUAGAUCUGAAUGGAAGCAGGUCGAAAUUAUGGAAAACAGUACCAGAAAUUUACGUCUUAGGGUGACAAAUAGGGUUUGUUUGCUGGACCAUAACUCACAGCUCACAAAUCCAAAUCAAGAAAUUCCAAAGGCGUUGGAAAGCUAGGACAUAAGGCUAUAACUUUCAUGUUUGGACCAAAAGCUGAAUCAAUACAGAGCAUGGAGGAGAAUGGGUCAAAACAUUCCUGUCAGAACUGUCGAAAUUCUAAGGCAGUUCGGACAACCGAUCUUGUUUUGGUCAUAACUGGAGCUACGGGACUCGGAUUUGGAUAAACUUUAUACCGUUUCGAAGCUAACAUAAAGGUCUACAAUAUUGAAGAAGGCCACUCAGUCCAGUUUGUGAUGCAACUAGGUCAAAAUGUCAACAUACCAAACCAGAACCGCAAAAACAGGUUAACAAACUGCAUUCUGGUUAACGAACCGUAAUUCAGGCUACCUAAGUCCAAAUCAAGUGAUUCCAAAGCCAUCCGAAAGCUAAGACACCAGGCUACAUUUCUUAAGAAGACGUCAACAACCAAAUCAGAAGUAUUCCCAACCAAAUUAACCAAUUACAGAAGCAAUUAUCAAGUUCGGAUAGAAACAGGGCAGCAGGGGUAUUUUGGUCUUUUCACCGGCUACGUUGCUCCGAUUAAGCUGAAAUUUUGCAGGCAUCUCUAAAAUAUCAUUCCUUACAACUUUAAUGUUUUAAUCCAAGGCUAAUUCGGCCUCUAACUAUGAUGAACAGUGCCGGGCAGAAAGGGGGUAAUCGAAACCCUAAUUCCGAAAUUUUCCGUUCAAUGCGGAAAUUUUCCGCAAAUAGCCGCUAUCUUAACCCUAAGGCUUCAUUCUAAACUAUUUCCAACCAUCAUACAUGGCCACAUAAUAUUAAUCAUAUGAAAACAGAAAAAUCCCACAUAAAUAGAAAAAUUCACUAAUCUUAACUAAAAUCAAGAAAUAAUCCACCAAAUCACACUUAUAACCACCACAAGUCAUUAAUUAAACAUCAUUAAAUAGAAGAGAGAGGUUCCAUAGUCACUCACCUUAGUAACCAAAGAAAAGAGACCACUUAGCACCUUAACCUUCCAAAUAACUUCACCAAUCACCUAAAUACCCCUAAAUUAAUAGGUUUUAUGGAGUAAUUUGAAAAUUAACCGGUUGGAAUGAAAGAUUGAGCAAGAUUGAAGGUAAGAAAAUUGAGUAGUUUUUCUUCUUUUUUCUUGAGCAAGGGCCGGCCAAGAAGCUUGAAAAUAAGGGUGAAUUUUGGUCAAUUUUUGAUUUAAAUAGUAAAAGGAUGAAUAGUGGUCAAGAAUCAAGACUUAAUCUCUAAGUGACACUUGUCACUUUCAUUAAAUGCAUAGCUAUCUCUUUGUUCCUCUCACACCAAUCCACUUGGUAACCUCUAAUUAUCUUAUAACACCCGGUAAAUUAAACCCAGUAUCCAAAACUUAACCUAACUGGCCGAAUUUUACUGAACUUUCCUCAUUAGUGGGCCCCACAUCCGAUAUGUGUUCUUAAUUUCUCAAAAACUAACUGAUACUAGAAAAAUCAUCUAAAAACUAUAUUUAUUCGAUAAAAUUAUCUGGGGAAUUUUCUAAUAAAGAAAAUGUCGAAAAAGGCGGGCGAUCAAUAAAAUAAACCCUAGUAACUUAGAAAAUUUUUGGGUUCUCGCACUCAUUCUUUCGGGGCGUCACAUGUAUGGUUUUUAGUGAGAGGAAGAAGCGGUUGUAGGAGAAAAGAGAAAAUAGUAUGAAAGAGGGAUGGAGGAAAGGAGGAAGAGAUGAAAAUUAAAAAAUUGAUGAAAAUUGUUCUUUGAAAUUAGAAAAUGGCAGGUAGAAUAAAAAUAAUUUUUCGGCUUUGAAUGUCACUUUAUGAAUUAACUACUAAGUGGAGGACAUUUUAGUCAUUUGAUUGGAUCAAUGGAGGUCUAUGUAAUUAUUGAAACCUUGGGGAGCUAAGUGAAAUUUUAAGAAACCUCAAGGGGGGUUUCUGAAAUUAUCCCUAGCCUUUUUGUGUUUAGCAUUUAAGUCCUUUUUUAGAUUUUUGGUCUUUUUGUAAUUAGUGUCAAGAUGCUCAUCUGCCACACUUUCUUUGAAUUGCACCCAAUAAUUCUUACCGAAGAAAAGUCAUUUGCAGUGUCCUUUUUUACAAUUUUGGUGAUUUGAUGAGUUAGAUAUGGAGGUCAUGCUUUAUUGUUUUUUUCGCCGUGGUGAUUACUUGGAUUUGGAAGUCAUUUUUUCCUUUUUUUUCUCCUGGAAUCCAGAACUAAUAGUUUUGUUUCUAUGAUACACAAAUAUUGGCCUAAUAAAUGUGUGCCGACUCUUUUGUAUAAGUGUUGAAAAAUAAAGAUCAGGAAUCAGUCACCUAAUUUGAAGUAUAAAUAUUUGGUAGACAUUUUAUUUUAUUCGGAUGAUUGCAAUUGGGAGAAAAAAUUUAAAAGAAAAAAAAUCCUUUAUUGGGAGAAGUAAAAGAUUCUUUAUUUUAAUCUGCUUCUCUAACUCAUUGCAAACUGUGCCCCUUCCUUCCGUUUUUAUUUUAAUAUAAAAAGUACUGUUCCUUGAAAACGAUGUUUAGGGGGCCAACUUGGUUAGAAACUAACAACUCUUUGAAAAUCUGCCAAAAGAAAAAGUAGCAACCAUUGGUCCCAAUCAUUUUUCCUUUCACCAUAGCAUUCUUCAUCACCAGCAACUCACCAAAGGCGAAGAAGAUCAGUAGAGAAGCUUCAUCAUCAACUUCCAUGUUCUGGACUGAUCAACUUGUGAGCCCCGAAUCAUUCGAAGCAAACUUGUUUUGUCUGCUACAGUGAGUUUUAGUUUCCUUCAACUUCAUUGCAUUUUCAAUUUUAAAAAAUUUCUUUGCAGUUGUGUACGGCUGAUCAAUAAAUGGCCUAUAAUACCAAUGAAUUUUUUUCCUUUUUUUUUUUUCUUUCCAAAUCUGCUUCUCCUUCUCAUUACUCUUUUAACUUUUUUCAAUUUGUAUUUUCCAGGUAUUUGCGUGCUAUAUUAUCCAUUCCGAGGUCAUAAAAAAAGUAAGCCUGCAACUAAAUUAAGAAGCCAACGUUGUUUGAUCUGACCUAAAAGCUGCGAUUUGGAGAUAUGGCUGUUGCUUGACAAAAGGUUAGUUAUGGGUAAAAUAUUGACUUUUUUCUUUUUUCCUUUUUUUUUUUUGGGUUUGGACCGUUUGGUGAUGUUGGUGCGGGAAAUGCGCGGCCUCUCUCUCUAUAUAUCUGUAGAAGAUUCAUCUCUAGAUUAGUCUAGAAGUAACACCUUGUAAUUUCCACCGCCUCAACUUUAUAGGAAAUAAUCCUUUGCUUUCUAGAAAUUCUCACAGCCUAGUACCAUCUAUAAAUAGGAAAUAGGAAAUAGGAGUUAGGAUUCAUUAGUAAGCUUGGGAUUAGUCUCCCUAGCUUAUUUGAUUCGGUGUCUGUCUAAGUUAGAGCUUUGGUAUUGUGAAGUUGUGCAUUGAUUUGUGUCCCACAGUUGUACUAGUGUGUGUGUGUGUGUUUUUUUUUUUAAUUAUCGAUCGAUAUCAUCUACUCCUACUGUUACUUCUAGAUGUUACUUCUACUCUAGCAUGUUGGAGGUCCAACUAGUGUUAAUGUACUCUAUUUGGUUGUUAAAUGUUGUCUGUGAAUUAUAACUUGGGCCUAUCACUUGAGAAAAAUCCACUGUUGAAAUUUUAUCGGCAGCUUAAUUUCCAUAAUAUUAGUGGGAUAUUUGUAGGGCUAUAAAUUGAAUCAACUAGCUUUGUACUUGGCUUGAACUCGAUUCGAGCUGGGUUCAUUUAAGUUUAUUUGUUUAGAUAUUAAUCCAAUCUCACACAUGACUUCAUACUUGAAAAUAUUAAUGAAUCAAUCAUGAUUUUCAUAUUGUCCGAUAUGUUGAAAACCAUAUAAGGCAAGUAAAUUUAUAAAAAUAUACCUAUAGUUUCCUUCUUUAACUCCACUUUUUUCUUUCCGUAUAUUGCUUAUCUUCUAAAAUAGCAAACAUAUAAUACUCUUGUCUCUUGAAUAGGCGUAAUUGAUUUUAAUCACAUCCCUAAUUUAUCGGAAUUGAUUGUAUAUGCUUGAACACAAUACUUUAACAAGUCAAGCUUUCCGUGAACAUACAUUUGAAAGUUCAAGCCAAACUCGAUUAGUUUCUUUCAAAAAAAUUUCAAAUACAAGCAAAAUUCAAACAUUACUUUUAAUCUUCAAGCUCAUCCUGACAUACUUCUAUCCAACUCGUUGAGACUUGUUUUCAACCCUAGAUAUUUGGUAAAAUGAUCUUCAAAUCAUUUGACACUAAUGCUUUGUGCAACAGGUUCAAAAGUGGCAAAGUUGUGGGAGGAUAAAAAUUUUCGAAACUUUACCAGUGGCUUGAAUUCAAUCAUCUUAGUUGGAUAUUUGUUAAAACAAUCUUAAGUCACUUUAACACUGAUGCUUUGUGAAAAAAUGUCAAAACUGAUGAACAAAUUAGAAAAGAAAUUUAUCGUUGUUUAGCAUGUGAGGUAGGAGCGUGAAAAUUUAUUUUUGGUUUAGACAACUUUGUUACAAAAAUAAUUAGCAUAGAAUGGCCUACAAAAUUGUCCUAAAUAGAAUAAGAAUAUAUAUUUAGAAAAAAAAUGGCUGAGGCACAUCUUAGUAUCAUAUGUGAAUGUGAGCAAUACCCCUUUACCUGAUAGGAAAAUUUUGUUGAGUUUGUUUUUAUAUCCUACAUCGAAAAUUUUAAAAAUAAAUAUCUCCUUUUGAUGAUUAUAAAUUAAGUGGACUUAGGGAAUUUAAGUGUGCUAAAAGUAUCAACUCAUAUGCAGUUUUUGGCUGUUUUAGAAAUUUUCUUUUCCUAAUUUUUUGUCUUCCUCCAUUGGAAGUUCCACAAUUUAUUGACUUUGGAUUUUUUUUUUAUAAGCAGCAAUAGGGAUCGUGUUCCUGGAAAAUUAUUGAUAACAAUUAUAAAUCUUUUCUAACCCGAACUAUUCUACAAACCCAACCAUAAAUAAAACUUUAAUUUUUCUUUCAUUUUGUGCAAUCCUAUUAAAAUUAUUUUCUAUGGAAAAAUCCCUCAAAUAAUUUGUUUCAUUUUAUUAGAGAACAGAAAUCCCAUACCAAAGCAACAGAAAAGUUAAUUUUAUCUCAAGACAAAAAUAAAAGUUUCUCUUACGAUGGAGACAUUAUUCUAUGAUAAAAGAGAAAAAAUAAAAGUUAAUGUUGGGGUAUUUUUUUUUUCCUCAAAAACUUCUUGCUAUUACUAAACUCUUUGCUUGUAAUGAUUUAAUGACGAUGAUUUAACCAAUCUUUUCAAUUUCAUUUAGCAACUCUAAAAACUUAUUAUUUAAUCAACCAUGAAAAACGUAUAAAUUGCAUUUGUUUGUCCUACAUUGAGUAAAACUGUGAAAAUCACGGCCUAGAUUAGUCUUUUUAUCGAUUCACUCCUGAAACAAAGUGGACCAAAUUUGAUUCAUUUUCACCAUUGUUGAAUAAUGCGAUUAAACAAUGACUUUGAAAGGAGCUUCGUUCUUAUUAAUCUAACUAAAAUUUUCCUUCUCCAAAUUUUUAAUCCACUUGUUGAUGGUUCAUUACUCUUUGAAUCCCAUCAGUUUUAGAAAUUUUCUUUCCUAAUUAUUUGUGUCUGUCAAUUGGAUGGUCUACAGAAAACAUUUCAUUUACUUUAUUUUUGGGUAAAUUACUAAUAACUUCUUGUGGUAUCUAUUGCCACAUAACCAUCCUAAUGUUUCAAAACAUCCACUUCACCCCCCAUGAUUUGAUGUAAAUUGGAAGUUUAAUGGAAAAUAGCUUAUUUAACAACGUUAAUUGAAAUAUCAGUAGUGUCCAAAAUUAAUUAUUAGGGUAUAAAUUUAAAAUGGAGCACAAGUUCAAGGGUGCAAAGUAGAAUUAGUUUUUUAACAAAAUAACCGACCUCAUCUAUCUUUUAGGCUAAAAAUACAGAACUCAGUCUGCUAAUCUGGAAUUUGGAAUCCAAGUUUGGUAUACAUCUCAAUCAUAAGUGGCAUCAUCACUUUACCAGUUACAUUAAGGAAGUAUUGUUGUCAUGUUCAAUACUUAUAUCUGCAAUUUGUUUCUUUCUUUCUCAGUAUUGAUGUCUUGAUCUAUUGCAGUUUCUAUUGAGUGCUGAAGUGUCAUUUAUCUUUGGGCGCCCAGUCAACACUAUAAUUUAGAAUUUGUAAUUUUGUGUUUAGCCUUUAAUUUUUUUUUUUUACUUUUAGUCUUUUUUUUCGUGCGUGUUUAUCUGCAACUUAAUAUUUGUAAUCAGUGUCACGGUACUCACCUGCCACACUUUCUUUGAAUUGCAUCCAAAAGGGUUUCUGAAAAAAGUCAUUUUUACAGUGCCUUCUUUGACAAUUUUGGUGAUGUGAUUAGUUGAACUUGGAGGUCAUGCUUCCUCUAUCUUUUCUUUUUUUUUGAACAAUUUUGCUGAUGGGAUUAGAUGGAGUGGAGGUAGAUCUAAAGGUUUUCUUUCAAGGAUACACAAAAUAUUGGCUUAGCAGUGUGGGCGGCUUUUCUACAUGCUCUGAAAAAGAACAAGAAUCAAUGGCCUAAUUAGACGUGUAAAUAGUUAGUAGACUGUUUAUUUUUUCAGAUGAUUGCAACUGGGGAAAAAAGAACAAAAGAAAAAGAUGUUGCAGUAUAAAACGUAGAAGGUAUACCCAAUCGUUGGAGUUGGCUCAGUAAACAGUGAAGGGUUCUUAGAAUUCUCUCUAUUUUCAGAUUUUGGAUUCGAAUUUUUUUGUUUAGUACUACUACCAAAUAUUAGAAUUUUACUAUCAUCUAAUAUGAAAACCACUCUUCCAGGAAAAUGAUAUUUAGGGGCCAAUUUGCUAAUUUAGAAAUUAACAUAUCUUUUAAAAAUUUUGCUAAAAGAUAAGUAGUGGCAAUUUGGUAGAAAAUUUGCGAAAAGUCAAGUAGCAACUUCCAUUUUCUUUCUUUAAAAAAAAAAAAAAUUUGAUGUAGAUCCCAUACUCUAUUGGAUUAAUGCAUGAAAGGAUAAUUUCUUGUCGCUGGUCCUCCUAUUUAUUACUCCCACCAAAAGGAAGGCAAGUUUACCCAAGCAAUUGCUCCAUUAUCUUCAUAUAAUUCAGACUACAUUCUAAUUUCACUGUUUUCUCAAGAUAUUCUUAUUUCUUGGAAUUUCUUCGAUCACAGACUCUAUACCAAACCUUUUCUGCAAAUUUAGUGGUAACAAUUUUUUAUUUCACUACAGCAUUAAUUCUUCAUUACCACCAAUUCACCAAAGGAGUUGAAGAGGUAGAGAAGCUUCAUCAAGCUGUGGACUGACUUGUGAGCCCCAAAUCAUUUGAAGCACUCGUAAGUUUCAUUUUACUUUGACUCCACCACAUGUUUAAUUUUCAAUUUUUGCAAUUUCUUUACAUUUUGCUAAAAUUUGUGUCAUAUGUUCUUAGAAAAAUAUUGUUCUUUAUUUUUAUUUUUGUUAUUGUUAAUAUUUUUUUUAAUAAAUUUUACAAUCAGUUUUCCAGUUUCCAUUCAAGUUUGAAUGUGAAGGUUUGAAGUUGAGAAUGAGGUGGUCAAAACAAUAUUAGUUAGAAUAUUUUAAUUGAUUUUCUAUUAAGUUUUUAAUUUUCAGAAAAAAGAAAAAUAGAUAUUCAUCUUCCUUUUCAAAAUUCGUCUACUCAUCAAUUAACUUUCAUAAAGAUAAAAACAAAAGCAAAGGAUUUCCUUUUCAAAAUCCACAAACCAAACAAAAAAAAAAACGAGUUUGAUUUCCUUAGUACCAGGAAUCUUCCCCCAAUGCUAUGGUGAUGUUAACGCGUUUAUUAGUGUAAAUCUUGGAUCAACUGGAGUUGAAAUUGAUGAAAUUGAGUUUGAAUUUUAAACUAUUGAUCCCAUGCCCAUAAGAUUUGUAGAAAUAGGAUAAUUUUGAGUUUAUAUGGUGAUUGGUUUGAGUUCUAAAACUAUAAAGAUCUUCCGUUUCCAAAUCACUGGUCAAAUUAUAAACUUCAAAAAAUCUGAUGCCAUAAUCCAUAAUAAACUUUUUUUUAAUACAUAAUCAACCUAAGAUAGUCAUGAGAAGGUGUCCUCUAUUUUCAAUGGUACCUUAAAUUUCAAGUUCAAGUCGGUAUAGCACUCUCUUUAAUAUUUUGGAUGCAUCUUGGAAGAAUAUUCUUUCUACAAAUUAUCUUACGAGGCUAGAAUUUCCUUAAAGCUAACCAAAGUUUGGUGUUUUGAAUUCCAUGACAUAGAAUAAAUAAAAGUUCAAAAAGUACUUUUUUUUUCGUGCACUUUUUCUGGUAUACUAGUAAGAAUUGGGUUGAGUUUGACAAACAAAUACAUGGUUGUGCUCUUCCUGUUCUAAUUUCCGUACUUUUUGUAUUAAUUUCUAUGUUUUCUCAGACAGUUAAUGGGAUAAUUGUUUGAGGUAUAGGAUUCGAAUUUAGCUGAAGUCCCGAGAUUGAACCAUAGACCCUAUUUCCUACUGCUGCAUAAUAACAAUAAGAAUAGCACUAAACAAAAAUCAUACUAAUGGUAACUCCAACUAUAAGUGUACAACUACUACUGAUGAUAAAAAUUCUUUUCUAAUAGAUUAUUUAGGAAAUAAGGCAGUUAAAAUUUUCUAUAGUUUUGUGCAAUCCUAUUAAACUUCAAAUGACGGAAGCAGGGGCAGAGGACCGUUGCCCCCCAAGUCUAAAAAUUUAUGUUAUUUGUCCCUGAAAUUUAGAAUGAUUUCAAAUAAGUUAAGUUAAUUAUAAGUAAAACUUCGCGCUGCAAAAAAAAUUAAAAUUAAAAACUUUCACUUUGACCCAAAUUACAGGUCUAUGCAGUACAGUGCUCUAAAGCAAGUUUUGUCACUGCUUCAAAUAUGCUUUCUCAAACUGCUCUUUGUUAUAGAAAGCGUCCAUUUUUGUUCAGUCUUUCAAAAAAAAGUUGCCUUUAUCCUUUUUCUUUUGAGUGAAAUAGGACUGAAUAAGUGAAUAGUAAAUAAUUCGGGUCACAAUGCUAGUUUAUUAUACUUCUUUGUCUCUCCAUUCAUGAAAUCUCUGAGUUAAAAAAUUCAUCUAACUUGAGAACGUUUCCUCUAAAAUUUAUAUGAACAUUUUAGGUUUAUUUAUUAGAGCCUGAUAAUUCUUGCUUGUUCAAACUAAAAUGAAAAAAAUGUAGAUGACCUCCCAUUAAACAAGUCAGUGAAGCACUUACAAUCUCCUCAACAUGAUAUUUUUUUUCCUUCUUUUUAUCACAAAAAGGAAAAUUUACCAGUAUUAACCACAAUCUGUAAAAAGAAUAAAUUAAGAGCAAAAUGUAAUCAUGAAACUACUUGAACUCAAUGUCAUUACAUCAAUUAGAAAAAUAGAAAUUGAAUUAGAUUCUUAGGAAAAGCCCCUCAAAAUCAUUUUUUCUACUUUAUCAAACAAUAGAAAUCCCAUAAUAGGUUAAUUGCGCAGUUAAUUUUAUUUCAAGACAAUCCCCAAAAAUAGAGGUUCUCUUUCAAUGGAAACAUUAAAGCAAGACAAAAGAGAAAAAGAAAUUGUGUUCAGGCAUUUGGGCAUUUUUGGUAUUAUCUAUCUCUGUAUCCAUGCCUUCUGUACUCUCUCUCUCUCUUAGACUUUUAUCUCUUAAAUAAAUUUGAACUUUUUCAAUAUAUGUAUUGAAUGACUUUACUUACCAGGGUUUAAUCAUUACGUUUGAAUUUAUUGACUUUGCUAAAAAAUAAAUAUUUGCUCAUAAGAAAAUGGAUCAAUGUAUUUUUUUGCAUUUAAAUGAAAAUGAAUAUGUAGCUUUGUAUUGUUCUAUAUGUAUAAGCAUUGCACAAGUUAAAUUACUAUCUCAAAAAAAAAGGUCAAUUGUUUGUGUGUAUUGCAGUAGUCAGUCAAUACUACCACAUCAAAAUAAACGGAUUAUAAAAUUUUUUUUCAGAAUCUGCAUAGUAUUUGAACAUUUAGAAUAUACGAAUUUUUCUAAACAGAUGUGCAAGAGCAUUGUUGAUAUUCUUAUCUGAAAUUAUACUUGCCUUGCACAGAUAUACAACUAAUCAAACAAAAAGAAAAAAGGUCCCGUGCCAAUGAGCUAAAAUACCAAUGACAGUGAAUUCAUUUAGGUAUCCUUUUGAGUGUAUAUAUAUGCAUUAACUUAAUUUUUUUAACUUCAUUUAGCAUCUCUAAAACAUUUAUUAGUUAGUCAACAGUCCAUAACCUUUAAUUUGUAUUAGUUCAGCCCACAUUCAGUCAAAAUUGUGCAAGUAGAAACUUCGCACGAAGUGCAAACUAAGCCAGCUAAACUUUUCCUGCUGUAAUAGUUUCUUUUUGUUAAAUCUACUUCUCUCACUCAUUACUUUUCAACUAUUUCAAUUUGUAUCUUCAAGGUACUUGUGUGUUCUAUCCAUUCUGAGGUCACAAGGUUAAGCCUCCAACUCCAUUAAGAAGCCUACAUUAUUUGUGGGGCUGUUCUUUCUUUCUUGUUUGAGGCUACAAGCUUUUUUCUUUCCUGACCUGUGCCUAGGAGAUAUGGCUGUUGCUUUAGCUGUGGGAAGUUCUGUCCUGUCGGCUUUCCUUCAAGUUGUAUUUGAUAGGAUGGCUACAAAAGAGUUCGUGAGUCUGUUUCAAAAAAGAAAGAAUGAAGAAGAACUCCUCCAGAAACUCAAGCUGAACUUACUAGUACUUGGAGCUGUGCUUGAUGAUGCAGAGAACAAGCAAACUAGGAACCAAUCUGUCAAAGGAUGGCUAGAUGAGCUUCAUGAUACCAUUUACCAGGCAGAUGAAUUACUUGAUGAGAUCAACACUGAGGCACUACGACUAGAGGUUGAAGCCGAACACCAAAGCUCAGCUAGUCAGGUAAGUGUUUCCACUUACAGCAAAUCUUCCAGUAAUGAUUUCCUUAAGAAGAUGAUGCCAGAGAUAGAAAAAAUGGUUUUCAAACUAGAUUGGUUCGUACAACAAAUUAAUCCCCUGGGUCUGCAAGUUGUUGAACAAAAAAUUCAAUCAUGUCGACGACUGCCUUCCACUUCUUUGGUUGAUGAGACCACUGUGUAUGGUCGAGAAGUUGAUAAAGAGAAGAUAAUUGAAGUGCUACUAUCUGAGAGUGUAAAUAGAGUCAAUGUCACUGUGAUUCCAUUGGUUGGCCUUGGGGGAAUUGGUAAGACCACUCUUGCUCAAUUGGUUUAUAAUGAUAAGUGGGUGCAAGACCAUUUUUCUAUAAAAGCAUGGGUUUGCGUAUCAGAAGAUUACGAUGCUACCAGGAUAACAAAAGAACUUCUUGGGGAGCUCGGUAUUCCAUUUUCUGAUAUGAGCGAGAAUUUGAAUUCCCUUCAAAUGAAGUUACAAUUGGGGCUAACUCAGAAAAAGUUUCUUCUCGUUUUAGAUGAUUUUUGGAAUCGGGACUACAGUGACUGGGAUAAAUUGAAGGUGCUUUUCAAAGGUGGAUUGCAAGGGAGUAAAAUCAUUGUAACUACACGUGAUGAGAAAAUUGCACUAAUGAUGUGUAAAAAAGAGUCAAUUUAUCAUCUGGAUUUGAUGAAAGAGGGAGAUUCUUGGUCAUUGUUUAAAAAGCACGCAUUUGAAAAUAUAGAUGGAAAUCAAAGCUCAGAACUCGAACAGAUAGGUAAGAAAAUUGUGAAGAAGUGUGGAGGAUUACCUUUGGCCGUGAAAACAGUUGCAGGUCUCUUGCGUUCGGAAACAACUGCUGAAGAGUGGAAAGAUAUUUUAGUAAGUGAAGUGUGGAGUCAAACAGACAAUCACGAUGGCAUCUUGCCAGCAUUGAGAUUAAGCUAUAAUCAUCUUCCUUCACAUCUAAAAAGGUGCUUUGCCUUUUGUGCCAUAUUUCAUAAGGAUUACCAGUUUGAGAAAGAGGAAAUAAUUCAAUUAUGGCAAGCUCAUGAUCUUUUGGAGCACCCUAGAGGUAAUAGAGGAAUUGAAGAAAUAGGUGAAGAGUACUUACGUGAGAUGAGAUUGAGGUCAUUGUUUGAGCAGUCAACUGCCAACUUUUUCAUAAUGCAUGACCUUGUCAACGAUUUGGCUAGAUUUGUUUCUGGAAAAUAUUGUCUCAGGCUGGAGGAUCAUCACCUAGGGCAUGGUACAACAGGUAGAAUAAGUAACUUUUCUUACCAUCCUAGUUCUUAUGACACCUAUCAUAAAUUUGAACUGUUGAGGGAGACUAAGAACUUGAGAACAUUUUUAUCAUUAAGUAUUAGUAAAAAUUCAAACCAGAAAUAUGAAGUAAGCCCCAAAUUUUUACAUGGAAUGUUGCCCAAAUUCAAGUCCUUAAGGGUUCUGUCUUUGUUGGGCUAUCAUAUCAUUAAGUUGCCCGACUCAAUUAGUCAUUUGAAACACCUACGUUUUUUGAAUCUCUCUUCCACAAACGUGAAUACCCUACCAGAAUGGAUAUGCACCUUCUAUAACCUACAAACCUUGCUGUUGACAAAUUGUAAGAAACUUCAAGAGUUGCCAGUAAAUUUGGCAAAGUUAAUUAAUUUGUCUUACCUCGAUAUAAGUGGAACUCCAUUGAAGACAAUGCCACUACACAUGGGUAGACUCAGAAACCUUCAAGUCUUGACUAAGUUUAUAGUAGGCAAGAGUAGUGGUUCAAUGAUCGAGGAGUUGGGCAAAUUUCGUAAGCUUCGUGGUGGGCUCUUCAUUUCAAAUCUAGAAAAUGUUUCUUGUGGUAGGGAUGCAUCAAUGGUGAACCUAAAGGGUAAGAAACACCUUGACAAGUUAGCUUUGAAAUGGAAUGGUGAUACCAAUGAUUCGCAAGUUGCGAAAGACGUGCUUGAUAAUUUAGAACCUCAUUCAAGCAUAAAACUUCUCAAGAUCGAAGGAUAUUGUGGGACAACAUUUCCAAAUUGGAUAGGCAGCCCUUCACUAACCAAUUUGAAAUCCUUGAGUCUAUCUAGUUGUGAAUAUUGCUUAUUCUUGCCUGCACUUGGGCAGCUAAGAUCUUUGCAAUCACUUGAAAUUGUUGGAAUGAGUUGCAUAUCAGCUUUAACAGAGGAUUUUUAUGGAGACACUAGGGCAACUAUGGCGUUCACAUCUUUGAAAAAGUUGGGAAUUGAGAAGAUGCCAGAGUUGGAGAAAUGGCACAUACCAAAAUAUGAAGUCUUCAAUAACCUUGAAGAACUCUAUAUAAUUGAUUGCCCCAAACUAAUUGGAGAACUCCCCCAACAAUGUUCAUCACUACGAAUUCUUGAGAUAUCCAGGUGCGACAGUCUUGUUCUUCCCAAUGGUCAAUUAAGUAUCUUCAAUGGAAACAACAUUCAACAAUUCACAUCUCUUUGUGAUCUGAAGAUUUCAAAUCUAAAGAGUUUGAAAGGGUUGUGCCUAGAGCUCAACCAGUUAGUCAAGCUUCAGAGAUUGAGCAUAGUUGACUGUGGGUCUCUCUUACCCUUUCUCCCGAGUUACCUACCUUCCUCACUUAAAGUACUUAAUUAUGAAGGUUGUUGCAACUUGGAAGUCGAGAGUGAAAACUGGCAACUGGAGGAUUUGACAUUAGUUAAUUAUGAUUCUCACAAAGUUGUGUGCCUUGGCCGGUUUCCUAUGCUAAAAAGCCUUGAAAUUUUGAACUGCAAAAGUACUGGGAUUGGGAGCCAAAAUAGUGGUGCUGCUACUAGUGUGAUGACGUCACUGCAAACCUUAUCCAUCUCCGGCUUGGUUGAUCUAAUUUCUUUCCCUGAGGGCAGGUUGCCAGCAGCUCCCAAGCUAACGCAGCUUCAUCUCUGGAAUUGCAAGAAGCUCAAGUUCUUGCCGCAACAGAUGGAUUCCCUCUUCCCAUCUCUUCGGCAUCUGUUUAUAAGCUGUUGUCCAAAUAUCGAAUGCUUACCGGAAGGAGGUUUGCCCUCUAGCCUACAAUGCCUUGACAUCUCCACUUGCAAAAAGCUCAUAAGUCGCCGGAGAGAGUGGGGUGUAGCGAAACUGCCCUCCCUCACGCAAUUCAGAAUUGGUGGUAUCGAUGAUGAAGUAGAGUCAUUUCCAGAGGAGGAUUGGCUACUGCCUUGCACACUUCAAUCUCUCCAAUUAUGGGCCCAUAAGAAUCUGAAAAAGCUAAGCUAUUCUGGUCUUCGACACCUUUGCUCCCUUCAGACACUAUAUAUCAGAAACUGUACUCGGCUCCAAUCCCUACCGGAAGAGGGACUGCCUGCCUCACUCACCACACUAGAAAUCGAGAAAUGCCCACUAUUGAAACCAAGGUUAAGAUGGAAGAAAGGACAAGACUGGCCCAAGGUUGCCCGCAUCCCAUGCAUAAUAGUCGAUUUGGAGCUAGUUCCUUGAUGAUGACCCUGGGUACUGGUAAGGGCUUGCCUCCCAAUGUUACAAGACCCUUAUCAUCAUCAUCAUCUUUUUACGUAAUUAAAGGUACUUCUUGUUUAUCACUUGUCGUCAGAUUUCCAUUCUAGCAGUAUCCUCUGAAGCCUCAGAAGGCAAAAUCAAAACUAACUAUUGCAUCUCUUUUUAUGAUUGCAAUAGGAAUAGCCAGUUGUGAAUAGCUAGUGUGUUUUGAAGGUGGAGGUUAUCGCUGCUGCAACAAUCUCGGCCAAGGUAGGUAAGAUCAUAAUAUAUUCCUUAAUUUAGAUUUGUUACUGUAACACUAUGCCUUAAUCUUCUAUUUUCUUCUAGGAGAACUUUUUCACUUCAUUUUUUUUUUCUCAAAAUAUGCUUUUGGUUCAUUUCUGCGCUGUAGAUUCUGAUCAAGUAAUGCGACCAACUCAGGCAGACCAAGGCUUUCCUCAAUUGGUAAAUGCUGAUGGAGAAAAAAAAAACUUCUUACUCUGUAAGGUAUCUACAAUAAUCAGACUGUUCUUGAACUUGCUAAGUGUCUUCCAUAAUUUAUGUAAUGCGCUUAAUAGUUUAUGUUUGAAACUCUGAGGUCCUUCUGGUGGACUUGUUAAUGUGCUUGUUUCACAAUCCUAUAUUUCUUCUAUAAAUUAUGAUAAAACACAAUUUGCAUCUUCUAACCAGCAAUUUUAAGGUGCUCUAAUCUUGUUAUAAAUUUAUAAUUUGAUCUAUCUGCCUGGAGAAGGAUUGCUUUCUCCUAGUCUUGGUGAUACACCUUUCUUAGUAGUCUAAGGACCAUCAUUGCCCUCAUCUUUAGCCAUUGCAGAAUAUGGACACCAGCGACCUCCCUCUUUAUGAUAGAAACUAAGAACUAAUAAUUGCUGGAAAAGAAGAACAUGGGAACAAUGUAGCUGAUAAUUCAAGGAUUUUCGAACGUAAACUUAUCCUGUGAUCAGUCGUGCACUUUCAGUUUUUGGCAUACUAAGUUCCUUCCAAUUUCAGUAUGUUUCCUUGACAUUUAGACAUGUGCUUUCUCUAUGCCACAGUUAGGGGAACUUUUGAAAUUUUUUGAACACUUCACCUAACAAUGUAAUGCAAAUAAUUCACAACUUCUAUUUAACUCCAAUUAGGGAACUGUUAUGCUCCCUUGUAUAUGAAUAUUUGUUGUUCAUGAUAUCAUUAUAGUGAUUUUUUUUCUGUUAACUCCUGAAUUUCCUUAAUCCCAUUCUGCAUCAUUAUGCAACUGCAUCCUAAGAUUUCUCCACAUUAAAUGCUCCAUACCUAUUACACCUAUUUUAUUUAGAUGCUUUCUGGGCUACCACCAUUGUACAGUUUUCCCUUGCAAUAGAAAUAUAGUCCAGGCGACUCAUAGAUAAACCCCAUGUGACACCAACUGCCAAUUCUCUUUAGUUUGCUGAAACCUGCCCAUGAGCUAGUAGAAUUUCUCAUUGCCUCAAUAAUAGUUCCAACAAUUCCACUAGCAGAUGCUUGACCUGACUGGAAGAUCACAAAAUUCCUAAACUUCCAGAUGUAGCACACAGUUGCAGCUAGACAAAGUCUCUUUAAUUGAUAAGAGAUGGACUUAGAAGACCAGUGAGCAGCAAGACACGCAAACUCCUCAUGCCAUGAACAAUCCCCUCUGUAUGUCGUACACAUCUGCUGAACUUGAUGCCAAACUAUCCUAGUCAGACAGCACUCAAUAAAAAAUUAAAAAAAAUGUUCCAUACUCUCCUCCUUCUGCAGAACAAACACGAAGUCAAUUCAACCCACCCAUUCCUCAGUCUGUCCAUUGUGAAAAAGUUCCUCUAACCAAGAAGCUACAGUAUGAAGACACCCUGGCUCCCAAACCAACUUUGUCCAAAUCACAGAAUUUCCUGGAGUCUGUAAUGCUUGCAUAGCUGACUCCGCAAUGAAAACUCCUGAAGGAUGGACAUCCUACUGUCUGAUCUGUAUGAUCCAUCAAUGGCACUAGCAAAUCAGGAGUGGCAUCUCUUAUUCUCUAACCGCAUAUUUUCAACCUAUUGUCUAUCUCCAAUUCACUCCAUCAAUAACUUCUGCAACCUGAGCAGGUGGAUUUACAGCAAAAACUGUGCAACAUAUUCUCAGUAAAAUAUUUGUAUAGGGGUCCCAGUUGAUGCCAAGUAUCAAACCAAAAACCAGUACUCCUGCCAUUGCCAACAACUUGAUCAAUAAGUGAUUGAGCAAUACUUCUUAGUUCUAAAAGCUUUCUUCAAAAAACUGAUUCUUCAAAAAGAUUGAUUGAGCAACAUGAAUCUUCACUCCCAAAAAAUGACUGAUCCUUCAGCAGAAUAUUAUGAACAUGACACCCAUAAUGUAUCCCUCUCGCUGCAGACAUUCCAAAUCAAUUUUAAAACUAGACAUUUAUUCCACAGUUCAAGGUUGAACACCCCAAGACCACCUUCUUUCUUAAGUGCACAUAUCUCAUUUCAACACACUUUAGUCUCGUACACGGUCUUAACUUCUACAGCUGCCUAAAAAAAGGAAGCCAACAUGCUGCUUAUUUUAUGGACAAUUGAUUCAGGAUAAGCACACUGCACUAGUGUAACUGUAUACCAGUAAAUACGGAUUUUAUCAAUUGCAAUCUACACCCAUAGCUAAGGUUUUUUUCCAGCCUGACCUUUAAUUUUUCGCUCCAAUUUGAUAAAGAUUGGUUGACAAUCUUUGUAAGACUAAUACCUGCUAGUACUGAUUAUGGGCAAACCCAGGUACUUGACAGGUAAGUGAACCUCUAGAGAUUUGCAACAUGUAACACAACUUCUCAGCACUGUCCUCUUCCAUUCCAGCAAGAAUAGUUGACAAUUUUGCAAAUUUAGCUUACGAUCAGAAAGUAAGCCACUCAUUGAUCGUCUUCUUCAUUACCUCGAAAGGAUUUAGUUGUUGCAGUGGAGAUAGGAACAAGAUCAUCAGAAAAAGUAAGUGUGACAACCUCAGCUCCUGAAACCUUGGAUGAAAAUCAAAAUCAGCAUGAGUUAUGUUCCAGAGAAAAGGUUACAGAGAACAUGUCCAUAGCAAUGAGGAACACAUAGAAAGAAAUAAGGUCCUGCUGUCGUAGCCCUUUGUCAGUUUUGAAAAAGCCAAUCAAAGAGCCAUUCAAAUUUAGACAGUAAUUUCUUUCUUAUCUACACAUUCUGUUUGUCUGAGUGCUGUGUAAAUCUUUAACUUUGCAAGCUCCUUGUAGACAAAGAGGGUAUAAAUGUUGGGUAAGCACAUUUUGACACUAAAAAUCAACAAUUCUGAUCAUAGUUACUUGAGAGUCCCAAAACAUAAAACUUUAGGUCACUUAGCUUAGCCCUUGGCAAUGAGAAACAGAAAGGAAGAAAAACAUUUUCAAUAAUCAUUUUUUCUGGAAAAGAAAAGGACAAUUAUUUGAAGUGGUGUUUGAUAUCUUUUCCUCUUGUAUGCUUUUUCGCAGGUAGUACAAUUGACUGCAUUUGAUCACUGGUCUAGAUUGUAUAGUUAUGAAUUUGCUACAUAAUCCAUCUUUAGUGCAGUGCUCCAUUCCUAUUGAUAUUUUUGAAUUUACCCCAUGCAACAAGAUAUUCUAGGUAUGUUGCACUUUGUGCUCAUUGUAAAUAUUUUCAUAUAUCCUUGUGGACUUUUGAUAAAUUGAAACGAAUUUCUGUAAUUUAAGCACUUUUCUUCGAUAAAGAACUGGUACUCAGAGAGCAUUUCUUGACCAGUAAGUGGGGUUUGAGCCAUUAGUUUCCAUUCCUGCCUUGUUCCCGCUUUCUGAACAGGAAAUAGACAAAAAUUCGAAAGGCAAAUCAUUAUUUUAUUUGAUAAGGCUUAGUAGAGCUGGGACUACGAUCAAUUGAUGUUUCUUUUCAGAUUACAUAUUGCUGGGAGCUUGAUUGCUGCCUGGACAGAUCCAAUCCCUCCUCACACCUGAAUGUUCUGAAAUGUGGCAGCGUUCUGUAACUGAGCUUUUAUGCUGGGGUUGCCUCCAGAGUGCAACGAUACUCUGUUUUGAUAGUGGAUACUGUAGAUUCUCUCCUUGCCUAGGGAAUGCAAAAUUAGUGGUACAAAUGAAGAAGGGUCACUACAACAAUAUCGGCUGUUGUUUUGCAAAAUCACUAUACAAUGGGAGCAAGGGAGGAAAAUGAAUGACCCAAGGCUGCUGAUGUAAACUGCUGAUGGUUGAAUCUUGUUUAUCAGUUGCUUGAGCCUGACCUCAGGGACGUAAGGGUGUCUUUUACCAUCAGAUUCAUAUUCUUGGAACCCUCCACUGCCUCAAGUCACAGAGCCAUCAUAUACCGUGCAUACGAUCCCAGCUUCUAGCUGAAAAUCUUCUCAGCUUCUUGUAUCUCUUUCAGGAUUUUUCUCCUUCUUUAUGGCUAACCUUGCAAAAUAUCUGAUCUGCCUACUGCAUCAAUUUCAUUGAAAGAGAAGAGGGCAAGCCACAUUAUACUUCCUUUCCUGUCUUGCAUGCAAAUUGACGAAUUUUUGAGUUUCUGAGAUGACAUUCUUCUUCCUUUUCGCUUCAUUCAUCCGUAGUCACAUUUUAGAUGGGACCACAGAAAAGUUUUCCUCAAUCUAUGCAAUGAACAAUAGGGGGUGCAUUGUAUAAUUUCCUCUUCAUUUCUUAUUUUAUUUCAAUUUCAAUUUUGUAUACUCCUAGCAUGUGGCGGAUUCAAUCACAUCUCUAAAGUGAAUUUGGGAAGUGUUAACAUGAUUGCACCUACAUUUGUCACGGAAAAGCUUCAAAUCAUCACUAUCACAUUCACUAAUAAAAGGAAACUAGUGUUAAAGGGCUACCAAUAAACAGACAGUGGAAAUGCAAAACAAAAAUUAAGACUCAUGCGAUAUUUAAAAGUGAAAAUGUUGCUUGAUUCUCAUGCUUUGAAUUUCACGAUUGCCCUUUGUGCAACUAAUGGGAUGGCUCUGAGGAAGUGAUCCGGAGCUGUAAACUCAUGUUUUGAUAGGUUUCUGAUUUUGGCAACGAUGUGGAGUUGGAAUUUUUCUUGAGGAAUGUGUGGAUAUUGAUUAGGAACAACUUUUAUUUUGAAUAAAUUUGUUUGGUUAAAAGCUAAAGCAGCCGGUGGACAUCUAAUAUAUGUAUCAGUACCUCCUCUGUAUUUGAUUGGGAGCAAAAAGAAAGGAUCCCUGCACUCAAAUAGGGAGUAAAUUACUGCCUUCAAAAUGCCAUUUUUUACGGAGUAGUGAUAUCAUUUUUACUUGAUUCUUUACUGUCACGCUUUCUUAAUUCUUUAGAACUAGCAAAAAAAUAUGUUCAUCAACACUGGAGCUUGUUCUUCCUUGCAUACUCAGCCAAGUGGAACUAUGUUAACUCGAUUUCUGAAAUUGCAGAUACACUUUAUCCAGUUCAUACUUUGCCCCAUGCAGUCUGCUCGGCCUCUUGGAUUUGUGUAGUUCCCGGCUGAACAUUAAUGCAAUCUGCUUCUUAAAGAGCAACAGGAAUUGUACCUUCUUUCGGUGGCUUCAAGGACGCAAGUUCAGAAGUACGUCUGGAGACUAGCUUUACUGCAUUUGUUUGACUUAUAGUUUCAUAUUAAUCUUAUGGUGCGGAUGCUUGUCAAAUGACUGUUCUCUUUCUGAAGCAUGAUGUCUUGACACGUCAAAACAAAUUACUUCGUGAAUUUCUUUACGAUGCAUGUCUGUCCUGAUUAAGAAUAUUUGCAGCAACUCUCAAACCUCUUCAAAAUUCAGCCUGCAAUUGUUUGACAUGAAUUCAUCCAAGAGUGAAUUGUGGGAAAUUGGACGGGAUGAGUAAUGGAGAGAAGCCCAGUCCCCCUUUUGUCAAUCUGGUCCUUAAUCUGCAAAUGAUAAUGUUACCAUCAUUUCUUCAUCCUAAUGUCAUACAUUUAGAACCAAAAUAUUAUCUAAUUUGAGAUUUCGAACUCUGUGACCCCAAAUCCACAACAGUAUGGAUGCAAUCAAGUUUAAACCCCAUUUAAUCGAGUGGUGGUGACUGGAUUGCUUUUGUUAGACAAAUAACUACCAAACAUGGAUAAAGACACCGAGCUGAGUGAAAGUGAAGGUGAAAACCGUAAUCAACUGCAAAUAUAUUCUGUAUAGACGUUUGGAGCUGUAUGAGUUAGCAUUUUUGGAGAAAUUUAAUUGAACACAUCGGACGUUCAAUUGUAUGAUCAAGUACUUGCGUCGUUACAUAAGUCAAUUUUAAUUCGUCUAAUAGUUCCUACCCCUCCUGGGCAGCUCAUCUGGCAGCGUACGCCUCCUUAGGAGCGCUUGCCAGGGGUUCGAGUCGUGCAGGGUUACCGUGUUCGGGGGGAUGGGGCCUCUCCUCCCGGGCCGCAGGGGAUUAGUCGGGCCGCCUUCGGGUCUUGACCCGGACACCCCUGUGUCGACACAAAAAAAAAAAAAAAAAAAAAAAAAAUUUGUUCCUAUAUCUAAGUGAUAGAUUUACAUCCCACCAGCCCAAAAUGACUCGUUCUUUAUCCAAACCCCAUGAGUCAAUAAACAGUAAUAGGUAAGUGAUUGUUUUAGAUACACCUUUUAUUUGAAGAGAUUUAAUAAAAAAUUAUACUUAUCGCUCCUUGCACACAAAUGAUCGAAGGUGUGCUUCAAGUAUGUGUGUCAGGUAUAGAAGCAUUUUCUAACAUCAGUCGAGGCUGGGCGAUGCUUAGCCGCUAUGACAAAGUAUAUAACACUGGUUGAAAGAGCAUUGAUUGAUUCUCAUACGAUGAAAUAAGUAAAGGGCAGAGCUCUUGAACCUUGUUACAAUAGAUGGCUGCAUAGUUAUUGUGAAUUGAUCGAAGCCUAAGUCACAGAUGAAGAUACAGUUCGUAUCUAGCUUAUUAUGCUUGGUAAACUGAUGUAAAAGAUUUGGUUAUGAAUGAUACAAGCUUUAGAGAAAAAAAAAAAAAAGUAGAUUGAAUACAUUUUUUUUGUAUGUGAGAGGUGUGAAAAGACGGUCAUACCUUUAGAUAGAUGAUGCGUUCAUAGUUUAUCCUUAGAAGGUGGUGUUUUUUCAUUGACUAAGAGAAGUUGGUAUUUCUCGAUAGAAAGAAAGUUUUGAUGAAUUCAAUUUGGAUCACCAUCAUAGCUAAGAACACGCUUCCUCAGGGUCCCAAAUGAAUUGACUUAUUCGAAAAGGGCCUUGUUCUUUGGAAGAUCUAUCUCGUGUCUGGUACUGCUCUAGUAUUAUAAGUGUUUCUUCGUAGGAACGUCCACGAAUUUGAUCAAUGACUCUUCGUGCUUUGUCAGCAGACAUAGAUAUAUGUUGACCUAAAGCAUAUACUUCUGUUUUUUUCUUUUUUAGCAUAAAGUUGCCUCCUAUUAUUUAUUAUAUUAAAUUAAUAGUAAUGAAUUCUCAUAAGCAUCAUUUUCUUCCGCGUAAAUACUUUUACAACAAUUUCUCAUGAAUUGGGAGUGUAAAUCAUCGUUAUUACAUAAAAAGUAUGAAUCAUGGUAUUAGGGAGUGUAAGUGCAAACUGUGCAAUCACUUUUUUGUCUUAGUUUUUGCUAUCUGUAAAUUACCCCCAUAUCUUUUAAUUAGAAUUAUUGCAUUUUAAUGUGGCGCUAAUUAAAAGAAAUAAAACGCUCCAAUUGAUUACAUCUUAAUGGUAUUGGUAAUUAUAAUUAAAAAUUGCUUAUUAAAAACUAUUUACCUAUUCUUGGAUUCCAUCUCCAAUUAUUAUACGUAUCAAAAUUUCUUAAUUGAAGUAUGAAAAAUUUCUCAUUAGUCAUUAGUUGAGAUUGUUAAAAAAAAAAAUCAAUGUCAAAAAUAGAUAUUCUCUAGAAAAUGGGGAAACAUACAAGGAGAAGAGAAUCCUUAUUCAUCUGUAUAUUUUCAUACAAAUAUCAUGAGCAAAUUUUACAAUUAUGUACUUUUUAUCAAUAUGAAGAAUUUUUCAUGUUGCACCCAAUGAAAUUUCAAUAUGCAAAAAAUGAUGACACCUUUAUAACUAAAAUAGUAGCAUUAAACUAAAAAAAAAAAAAUCUAAAAUAGCACUAUACAAAUCACUAUUAUAAUUAAUAGCAAUCAAUCAAAACAAGAAGAACUGAAAAAAAUUGAAAACUAUUUAUAAAAUGACAUAUAGCAAAUAGCUAAUGAAUUAAAAAGUUAGAAUACAAUUCAAACAAUGUCACAGACAACAUCCAAAUCAAUGAUAUCUUGGGGAAGACAAACAUUGUUAUUAAUCUAGGGGAAGGCAAACCACAUAUAGUAAUGCUUUAUUUGUAUUGGUUUGAACAAACCAAAUCCAUCCAUCAAACCAUCUCCAAUGAUAAAAUAAGAAUUAUAAUAAGAGUAAACUUAAAAUGAAGAAUGAUAAAAUGAAAAUGAUAUCCAAAUUAUUUUUUGUGACCCAAAAUACUCUUAUUUUUCUAAUGAUUACAUAUAUUUAUUGUAUUGCAAUGUUAGUGAAUAAUGGAAGCGGUUAUGAAAUGAAAAUAUUUAAAAUUAAGUAAAUUUCAUUUAUGGUGACAUUGUAAUUAGACAGAUUUAGUGUAUUCCGGUAAUUGAUAAUAAUGAUAGCGGUUAUGGAUUAAAAGUUGGCAAUUAAAAAAUAAAACACUACAAUAUACAAAAAAUUAAUAUUAAAAUUGUUAAUUAGCCACAAUUCUCAUUCCAAUUCCAUGAUCAUUAAAAAAAAACUAGUACCAAAAUAAAAAAUAUUGUGCUCAUAUGAAAAAAGUAAACUUGUUGCUUUUGCUUCACAUUGGAUUGUGCUAAAAAUAUGAAUAAAAAAAGGAAAAUAGAAAAACACCAACUAUCUCUAUCUAUAAAAUUUCAAUUGUCAGGAUAUACAAACAAAAAAAACUUUAUGUGGUGGAUAAUUUGUACUCCAUUAUUGACAAAAAUAGAAUUAACAUAAUACAAAGAAUUCAAUUUACAUAUAUGUUUAUUUUUCUAACUUAAUUAUAUUUUUCAUUUAUAAAAAAUUGUAAUGAUUGUAGUUUAUAUGCAAUAGAAUCAUGAAUAUACAAUAAUUUUGGUAAAACAUGAUACUAUCAACAUUUGAUAUGUUAGAGUUCAAGCUAUAAAUCAAAAAGUGUUUAGUUCAUGAUUCCAAAUUUAAUUCUAAGGGAUAUGUCAACUGCAUUGGAAUGUUUUCUGUCUUUUUUCAUUUAAUAAAAUUUUUAAAAGCAACUAGCUUAAAAAAAUAAAUAACAUAAAAAUACUAUAUUAUGAUGUUGAUGAUCAAAAUUUCAUAAAAAAUUUCUAGUAUCUAAAGAAUAAUAAUAUAUUUUAAAAUAUUACCAUCACGUGCAAAGCUAGUGAACUAUUACUAGUGGUAUAAAAAAUCUAAAGUCAUACCCUUGCAUAGCAUGAGUACUAGUAGGACGAUUAAUACUCGGACCAAUCUCAACUUGGCCAUCUCUGUUCAGCCAAAUUGCCAGGAAACUCUUCUACACUUCAGCAAAGUAUACUUUCUUUUGUUCUGUUGUUGAUGGAGAGAUGCUUGUUUUGAUAGUUUCUUUACUUGAAAACUAAAAUCUUUAUCGAAGUCUUCCAUUCUUAUCCAUAGCCAUAAGAUCAGUGAGGUCGUUGGUUGUCUUGGAUUCUUAUCCUACCCCACCGGCCAAGACUUCCUGAUCAGGGUUCAGCAACACUUUGGCUGCUUUUACAAGACUCCCUGCUUUUACACAAAAGUCUCCAUAUUCAGACAAAAGCAGAAUUUCUAGUCUUUGGCUGCUUUCACACAAAUGCUCAGCUAUGCAAAUGGAGACUGGAGAGUCUACAAAGGUUUGUGAUACUUUCACAUUUUUUUUCAACAUUUUAAGCACUCUUUGAUACUUUUAGUUCAAACAUGUAUAAUUUGACAAAGUACAAAUAAAAUUGUGCAAGGAGUUUUCGGAACGCACACACAUAUCAUUUCCGUCAUAAAACCAGAAUAACAUGUUAGUUAUACAACCUUCAUUUCACUUCCCCCAAAGUAAAUAGAGCGACUUUCCUUUCCGUUUCUUGAAAGAGGGCUAUAGUUAACCGCGUUCCCUCCACGAGCCACCAAAUCGAAUCAAUAUCGAUUAAUUUCCUUACCAAGCACCAUUAAUUUUCUCUUUCUUCUUUUCUUCUUCUUUGUUGUUUGUUUUUGUUUGUUUGUUUUCCUUUGCUUUGAUUGGUUUGAAAAAUUCGUCUACCAAGUCUAUCUUUCCAUCAAGUUGCUUGCUUCAUUUUAUCUUCUCUAUUCAAUGGGAAAUGCACUGGAAAUUGAAUCAUCGUUGUCAGGAAUGCUCGUUUACGGCACUUUCUGCGUCCAAUAAUUCUUGCCUGAGAAAAGUUAUAUAUACUGUACAUUUGACAAUGGAAGUAACUCGAUAAUUGGACGUCAUGCAUUUUUUCCCCUCCUCGAUCUUGAUCUAACGGUUGUCUCGCGACAAUAUCCAUAUUGGCUACUAGUGACAGCCUAUUUGCAAUCAAUAAUAUAUUGACAAACAAUAAAAAUCGAUCAUCCAAUUUGAUGUGAUUAAAACAAGUUAGUAGAAUUAUGGGGAGACUUUUCGCAACGCAAGAAAUUGUUGCAAAGUGAAAUAUAAAGAAGGAAUUAAAGGAGGACAUUCGCUCUUCAUUUGCCUUUUUUUUUUUUCUUUUUCAAGUUAAUUUUCAAUUUAAAGAGGGACUCAAAGUGGGCAAAUUUGUGCAAGUAGUAAUAAUAAUAAAAUUAUCCCACAAAUGAGGCUCUUUUUUUUUUGUGGGAUAAUGAACAAUCUCUAACUACUGUGGUUGAUCCAAUAGCUAGUGGAAGACUUUUAGAGUUCUGUCCAUUAUAAAGAUUCAAGAUUUGAAUAGUAGACGUGACACGAGGAGGUGGAAAGGAUGCGAGCAAGGGUGGAAAAGUAAAAAUGAAGAAAAAAUCUCAUUGAUACAAAAUGUCUUGGUUAACUGUUCUUGAUCUCAUUAUUGUCUUUUCUUUGCAGUUUCCGGGACGCUGGACGGGUCAAGGUCGUCCUCGCUGAGACCGCAUUCGCCCUCUCGUUUCUCGUAAGGUUGUUGCCUUCAAAAUCCCUCUGUUCAGUUUUGUCCUUUGAACUGGCUUUUCAAAUCGUGUAAAUUACAUAUUAAUUCUUCAAAUUAUUCUUGGAAACUCCCUGUGUCAUUUUUUUUUCCAAAAAAAAGAAAGAAAAGCAUUGCUUAAUUAAUUGGUCAGUAAGUUUCGCUAGAUCUCCAUGCUUUUGUAGAUUAGUUAACUCCUCAAAUUAAUAUAUAGCAAAGUAAUAUGUUUCCCCUCUAUACAAAACUUGAAGCUAAAGACGGUAGGGUAGGAAAUAUAACCAAUUCUAAUUUUAUUUUAAGCUCGUAUAGCCAUAUUAAAUGUUACUAUUUCAAUAUUACAAAGAUCGGAAAGAAACAUAUUUAUGGGAUUUGGACUGUAGUUAAUUGCUAUGCAGUCAUUAAUUUAGAAUUAUUUGAAUGCAUUUCCCUUGCACCAAAUAAUAAUAAUAAUAAUAAUAAUAAUAAUUGCUGUAGGUCCCAUACUCUUUUAGAUUAUUCGCAUCAAAGGACAAUUUCUAGUCGCUGGUCCAUCUAUUUAUUCGUUGGUUAUCACUCACGCAUUAUCUUCUCAUCGUUUCAGACUACAUUCCAGUUUCAUAUAUUGUUUUCUGAUGACUUGGUAAACAUCUUCUUAUUUCCAAACCUCUUUUCUCCAACUUCACUCGUCACCGUUUCUCAUUUCACCAAUUCACCCUCUGGACUGAAAGAAGAGAUACAGAGCCCACCAAUUCACCGAAGGAGCAGAAGAUAUAGAGAGCCCGAAACCAUUUCAAGCAAACUUGUUUUGUCUGCUACCGUAAGUUUCAUUUCGCUUCGACUUCACUGCAUUUUUAAUUUUCAAUUUUUGCAACUGCUUGGCAUUUUGUUAAAUUCGUUUCAUAUGGUCUUAGCAAAAUUAAUUAUUGUUCUUUAUUAUUACUGUAAUUAUUACUAAUAUUCUUUUAUAGGCUCUGCAAUUAUUUUCCAGUUUCCAUUCAAGUUUGCAAGUGAAGGUUUGAGGUUGAGAAUGAGGCGAUCUAAACAGUUUUAGUUCAAAGUUUGGCAUCAAAUUUAAAAUAUUUUGCCAACUUAUUUUAAUUGAUUGUCUGUUAAGUUUUUUAUUUUUAGAAAGGAAAAAAAAAAAAAAGAGAUUUUCGUUUCCAUUUCCUUUUUCAAAAUUUGUCUUCUUAUUAGUUAAUUUUCAUAAAAAGGAAAAAGAAAAGCAAGGAUUUCGUUUUCAAAAUCCACAAAUCAAACAGAAUUUUUUUUUUUUUUUUUUUUGUAGAGAUCAUUUUCCUGACUACUUUUGUUCAUAACCAGACAAGAUGAGGGAUUUAACAUUUCCAAAGUAAUUUACUUUUCUUCUCUUUGAUUUCCUUUUCCUUGCUAAAUUCGGAGAACAAAUAGGGCCUUAUUGCUAGGAAUCUCCUCCCCCACCCUUUCCCUCUUAAGGUCAUGCUAUGGUUAUGUUAAAGUAUAAAUCCUGAAUCAACUGGAGUUGAAAUUGAUGAAAUGAGUUUAAUUUUCAAACUCUUGAUCUCAUGCCCAUACGAUUUUUAGAAAGAGGAUAAUUUUGAGUUUAUAUGGAGAUUGAUUUGAGCUCUAAAACUAUAAAGUCCUUCCAUUUCCAGACCACUGGUCAGAUUAUAAGCUUUAAGAAAUGUGAUGCCAUAUUCCAUAAUCAACCUUUUUUAAAUUACAUAAUCAACCUAAGAUAGUCAGAAUACGUUACAGGCUUGUUUGGCACCCUAGUUUUUUAACAAGUUUUUUAGCUACUAGUUUUUUAACAAUUUUUACUACAGGAAUCCCAAAAAAAUUUAUACACAAAAAGUUUUUUUUACCUACACACUUCAAAAAUCCAUACACAAAAAAUUUCCCAAAAACUUUUCUUCCACCCUCACCCAACCCACCACACCAGCCACCACCUCCACCACCUCUCCCGGCGCCGAUAACCUCAAAAAAAAUUUUGAGUCCCUCCCCCGCCACCCUCCCCCUCUUCUGCUAGGUGCGAUCUGGUCGCACGACUAGAUCGCAGAGCAAAGAGGGGGAGGGUGGCGGAGGAGGGAGAGGGGAAGAGGGGAGGGGAGGGGAGGGAGGGAGUGAAAAAGCAAAAAAAAAAUAAUAAUAAUGCACAGUUGCCCGCCUUCCUCGGGUGUCGGAGUGCGAGAGGGAGGGGAGAGGAGAGGGAGAGGGGAGAAGGGAGGAAAGGGGGAGAGUGGGCAGAGGGGGUGGCGGGGGAGGGAGAGAGAGGGGUGGCGGGCAGAAGGGAGAGGAAAAGAAUGGUGGAACAGUUUGGGGGUGGCGGGGGAGAGGGGAGGAAAGGGGUGGCGGGGGAGGGAGAGGGAGGGGGGAGAGGAGAAAAGCAAAAAAAAAAAAAAAGAAGAACAGGGGGUGGUGCUGGCGGAGGGGCUGGAGGUGGGAGGCAGAGGAGAGGUAACGGGGAAGGGGGAGGGGGAAGGAAGAAGAAGAAGAAGAGGAGAGGAAAGAAAAGAAAAGGAAAAAAAAAAAAGAGAAAAAGAAAAGGAAAGAAAAAGAUAAAAAGAAAGAAAAAAAACAAAAGGAAAAAAAAAGUUUUUCAUCUUAUAAAAACUUCUACAAAAUUUUUCACAUUCCAAAAAUUUUUACAAAAAAGUUUUUCACCUUACAAAAACUUCUACAAAAUUGUUCCAAAAACUUUUACAGUACAUUACAGUAAAGUUUUAGAUAAACUCUCAAAAAAACUCAGAUUUCAAACAGGUUGUGUGCAACGAGUUUUUUGGAAUGCAGAUUCCGGUCAUGAAACCAGAAUAACAUGUUGUACAACCUUUAUUUUACUUUCGGCCAAAAAUAGUACCAUAGGUCCCGCUGUCGCUUUUGAGAAAUCACCUCACAGGACAAUUUCUUGUCCCUUGCCAGUCUGUGUUGUCCUUUUCUUGAUCACCAGGGAAUCAAUGUCCCGCUUCAUUUCAGCUUUUCUUUUCAAUGGCGAAAUGCACUGGACAUUGAAUAAUAUUUGUCAGGAAUGCUCAUUUACCACACUUUCUAUGUCCAAUAAUUCUUUCCUGCCUGAUAAAAGUCAUUGACAGUGUGCAUUUGACAAUUCAGCUAAUUCAAUAAUUGGAGACAUCAUGCAAAUUUUUUUUCCACCACUCAAUCCUGAUCUAAGGGAUGGUUGUGUCGCGACAAUAUAUCCAUAUUGGCCUAGUGCUGGCAGACCUCUGGUCCAUCAGAAGGGCUCAGUGCAGUGUUUUGCCACACAUUUGCUCUCUGGUCCAUGUAUUGCUCAGUUUCCAUUGUCUUCUUUCAGAUUACAUUCUAAUUUCUUUGCUCGUAGAAUUUCUGUAUAUUCUGUGGGACAACAACGAACUUUGAGCACAGAGUCUACAUCAAAAGGAGUCGACAGGCAGUGAAGCUUCAUCCAGAACUGGACUGACUACUAAGUACUAAGCCCGAUAUCAUUUGACCGUAAGCUUCAUUUUUCUUCAAUUCCUUUUUCAUUACCAAAUAUUGCAAAUUCUAUUGAUUUCUGUUAAAAUUUGUCAAAUAGGGUAAUUACAGCCACUAUUUUUAGCAAAAGAAGGAAAUUUAUUACGAUCAUUGAUAAAGUUUUACAAGGGGAAAACCUCAAUUAAAUCAAGAACUAAUAUUGAACUAAGGACAAAAAAUAAAAAAGGCAUUUCUGGUUAAGCGAACAUGUAGAAAAGCCCCAGUGCUUUCGAAACAUAUAAUCCAACAUCUCAUGGUUCGAACGAAACUGAAAAAUCAAUGGAAAUCGUCAAAAUUAAUGUGUUUAAAGCACACGCACUUGUUUUGCAACUCGUUGUACCUGAAAACAGUUUUUUAUAAUCAAUUUUGGUUGAUAUACCUAUUCUAUCCCUUACAGAAAAGCAUCCUAUAGUUAAGCCAACCUACAUAAAAAAAAAAAAAAAAAUCAUCUAUAAUUUCAAAACAUAAACACUUUCAGAAAAAUAUAUUGAAAAGGGAGUAAAGUUUCUUGAGAAAAAUCAACCACUAGUAUUAUACACACUACUUUUAAGGUAUUGAAAAAAUUUAAAAUUUGGUUUUUUCCAAUAAUAAUAUUAUUUUAGAGGGUCUGUUUUUAAGAAUUUAAAGUAAGAAUUUCAAUAUUUUUCUUUGUAUAAAGUGAAGGAAAAUUUUGCAAAAUAGUUGCUUAUAUCUUUCUCAAUAUCUCGAGUGGGCAAUAGAACUAGACCCUAUGAUACCAGUACAAGAUUUGUGAGUGUUUAGAAAAAAUGAAAGUAAAAAUUGUUGAGAUCAAAAAAGCCAUCUAAAGGGCUGUUGUAUUUUACGUGUGCAAUGAAUGAUUGUGAGCAUUUUUUGUGAUCUUCAUGUUAUCCCAUAUACAGAUAUUAACUAAAUCAGAACGACUAUUUUAUGUAUGAAAGGGAUGAAAAUUAUAUUUUUUGAAAUCACAGGGAGCUUUUCUACAUUUUAUCCUUAUAUAGAUUAGGAUAUUUUUGUCAUUUCAUCAACCCACAUUAGUUUUAAUGAUUUUCAUUGCCUUUUUAGUUUAAAUUAUUAGAUUGUAUAUUUUGAAAUCACGGAAACUUUCCUAUAUAUUCGCUUGAUUAUAGGUGACUCUUUUGUUUUGUACCCUUGAACUAAUGAGCCAAUUUCCGAUUAUCUUUAAUCCUUCCCUACGUUCUAAUCAUCUUGAACGUGGUGUGGUUAUGUUUAAUAGUGUAAACUUUAAAUAAAUUGGAGUUGAAAUUGAUGUAAUGCAAAUCUGUAUCCACUUUCAACUUUGGUUUUCAAACUCUUGAUUCUUGGAAUGAAUUGAAUUUCGAUUCAUGUGAGAAACUUGUUUUUUCUCAGGUGAUAUGAUGACUGUUAUUGGACUUAUACAUGAUUGCAAAAAGUUAAAACUAAUAAUUAUGAUUAUCACGAAAAGGAGGAAAAAAAAGUUACUGUUAACUGUGUAGUUCUUAUAUUUUUCACCAAUUCUCUUCUGUUUUCAAUUUCUUCAAAAGUUUUGUGUUGACCACUCUCAUUUUUUAACGUUUCAAUUGGUGUUUAGUUCAUUUAACAGGUUUUAUAUUGAGUUUAAAAUUCAUAAAAAAAAUCUAUAUCAAUAAAGAAAAUAUAAAAAAUAUGCCAAAAGAAUAUGUGAGAGAAAAAAAAAACUUCCCUAAUUUUUUUGUUUCCUUUUUUUUUUUUUGUCUGAAAGUUCAUAUUCAUUUAAACAGAGACUCAAAAUGCUAUCCUAUGCUUAUGUAUUAAUUGGACCAAAAAAAAUCUUCAAAAGUCCUAGGGCCGGAAGGGGUAGCUUCCCCCAAUCCCCGGGGCCCAAAACCCCAACUUUGCCUAAUCCCCUUUGACCCCUAAAAAGUAUUGGUAGUUUCCUAUUACAGUCAUUGUUUUGCCUCCCCCCACCCCUCAAAUUAGAAUUUUAGAAAAAUAGUAUUGCCUCCCCUUCACUUAAACUUUCUGCCUUGUGGAAAAUAUUAACUUCUCUAAAUAUUUUUAGAAUAUUAGUAAAUCAAUUGAUCUACAAAAUUUAAUUUCAUAUUAAAAGCUUUAUAUUACAUAUUUUUUUCUUAGAAUUUUGUUUAUUGUCUCCAAAUAUAUCCCAUUAUUAAACAUGUAUUACAAUUAACUUAUUGUUCAUUGAGUACUUUAAAGUAAAACUUUGCGAUAUGUUCACAUUGAUAGAUUUUUUUUCCAUAUGUAGGGUGAUAAGAAAUAGAAUAUAGAAACAUGAGCUACAAUAUAAAUUUGACAUACUAACACAUUUUUUUAAUUCAAUACUGAGUAUACAACUUCUUUACUAUGUUUUGUAAACUUGAUUUUAUUGGUGUUUUCUUAUAAUGAUCUUCAUAAUGAAGAACUUGUCAGACAACUUUGGUUUAGAAUAAUUUUUUUUUUUAAAUUGCAAGUAGAUAUCAAGUUCAAAUCAUUAAACCAAAGAAAUGGAAAAGAAAAAUUAAUUUGUAGGUCCCACACUAUUCCAGAUUUUUAGAAUUUUUUAGAAUUUGAUUUUUUUUUCAUUUCUUUCUUUUUUUUUUGGAAUUAAAUGGACUGAUAAUUGGAGCAAAGUCAUGAAGCAAAGGUUGAGUACAAUCAUUGAGAAUUUCUCAAUGGAUGAACCAGCGUCCAUUCUCUUUUGUCCCUGCAUUUCACUUUCUUAAGCGGGGUACUAAUUUCUUUCUCACAUCCAAGAAUAUAUAUAUUUCCCACACAAUUCUGGAUUAAUCACAUCAAAGGACAAUUUCUUGUCGCUGAUCUUUCUAUUUAUUACCCACGCAAUUGCUCCGUUAUCUUCUCAUCAUUUCAGAUUACAUUCAAAUUUCAUAUUGUUUUCUGAUGACUUUGUUUUCUCAUCAAAGGACUUUCUUUGAUCACAGACUCGAUCCCAAACCUUUUCUCCAACUUCAUUCCUCACCAUUCUUCAUUACCACCAAUUCAACAAAGGAGCAGAAGAGAUAGAGAAGCUUUCAUCAACUGCCGGUCUGACUUGUGAGCCCGAAAUCAUUCGAAGCAAACUUGUUUUGUCUGCUACCGUAAGUUUCAUUUUCAUUUUUCAGUUUUGCAAUUGCAUGGCGUUUUGUUAAAUUCGUGUCAUAUGGUCUUAGCAAAAUAUUAUUGUUCUUUAUUAUUACUGUUAUUAUUAUUAAUAUUCUUUUUAUAGACUCUGCAAUUAGUUUCCAGUUUCCAUUCAAGUUUGCAAGUGAAGGUUUGAGGUUGAGGAUGAGGUGAUCUAAACAAUUUUAGUUUGAAGUUUGGCGUCAAAAUUAAAAUAUUUUGCCAACUUAUUUUAAUUGAUUGUCUGUCAAGUUUUUAAUUUUUGAAAAGAAAAAAAAAAGAAGAGAUUUUCGUUUCCAUUUCCUUUUCAAAAUUUGUCUUCUUAUUAGUUAAUUUUCAUAAUUAAAAAAGAAAAAGAGAAGCAAAGGAUUUCCUUUCCAAAAUCUACAAAUCAAACAGGGGAAAAAGUAUUUUGCAGAGAUCAUUUUCCUCACUACCUCCUUUUCAAAAUUCAUCUUCUUAUUAGUUAAUUUUCAUUUAAAAGAAAAAAAAAAAAGAAAAGCAAAGGAUUCCCUUUUCAAAAUCCACAAACCAAAUAGGACCAAAAAAAAGAAAAAAACUUUUGUAAAGAUCAUUUUCUUUACUACCUUUCGUGCAUAACCAAACAAGAUGAGGAAUUUAACAUUUCCAAAGGAAUUUACUUUUCUUUUCUUCCUUUUCCUUUUCCUUGCGAAAUUUGUAGAACAAAUAGGGCCUUCAUACUAGGAACCUUCCGCCUCCCCCCUCCCCUUCCAAAAACCAAAACCAAAAAAAUCUUGUUAUGGUGAUGUUAAUGCAUUUAUUAGUGUAAAUCUUAGAUCAAAUGGAGUUAAAAUUGUUAAAAAUGAGUUUGAUUUUUAAACUUUUGAUCCCGUGCCCAUAAGAUUUGUAGAAAGAGGAUAAUUUUGACUUUAUAUGGAGAUUGAUUUGAGUUCUGAUCUUCCGUUUCAAAACCACUAGUCAAAUUAUAAACUUCCAAAAAUGUCGAUAAUCAACUUUUUUUUAAUACACAAUCAACCUAAAAUAGUCUAUGUUUUAAACUUCAAAUGACAUAAACAAGGGCAGCGGAUCGUCCCAAAGUCUAAAAAUUUAUGUUACUUGUCCCUGAAAUUCUGAAAGAUUUUCAUGAGGUUAGGGAUGACUUUUAAAAUUCUUUCCGCUGUUAGAUUCAUGUUGGAAUCCUGGAUCUGACAUUUUUAAGGUGGGAAGGACGCCGGUAUGAAAGAGAGGGUUAAAAAAAUUUUAAAAGAAAAUAAAAAGAGUAAAACUUGGCCCCACAAAAAAUUUACUCAUUGACCCCAAAUUACGGGUCUUGGAUUCUUAUCCUAACCUGACUGGCCAAGACUUCCUGACCAGGAUACAAUUGGAUUUGUUUGGAUAGAGGAUUAUUUGUCAAAAUUUAUUUACUUAUAUCAUUAUUAUAAUUUCUAACAUAUUUUUUUAUCUUUUCAAUUAUCUUUUUAUCUCACAUACAUCGCAUCACAAAAAGUGCUACAGUAACAAUAUCUCAAAUAAUUUAUAAUCCAAACAGAGUCCCCAUAGUCAAAAGCAGAAUUUCUAGGCUUUGGCUGCUUUCACACGAAUGCUCAGCCUACGCAGAUGUAGAGUCACACAAAGGUUUAUGAUACUUUCACAUUCUUUUCAACAUUUUAAACACUUUUUCAUACUUUUAGAUCAAACAUGUAUAAUUUGAUAAAAUAUACAUAAUAAAAGUGGGCAAGGAGUUUUUCAGAAUGCAUAUUCCGGUCAUGAAACCAGAAUGACAUGUUGUACAACCUUUAUUUUACUUUCGGCCAAAAAUUUGCAUAAAGAAAAUAAAGCACCUUUCUUGCCCUUUUCUUGAAAUAGUACCAUAGGUCUCGCAGUCACUUUUGAGUAAUCACCUCACAGGACAAUUUCUUCACUUGUCAGUCUGUCUUUUCUUUUCUCAGAGAGGGAUUAUCUUUUUCGACUGUAAGUCGAAGAUUUAAAUUUCAUCUACUUUAAAAAAAAUUUAAAAGAGUUGUCAAAAUAUUUUUUUUAAUUUAAUUGAAUCUGUAUAUUUACUAAUCUCUUAUACAGUCUUUUUAAACUUCUCCUUUCUAUAGAAUAGAAUAUAUUAGGUUAUAAAAAUAUUAUUGUAAUUGGCCCAAAAAAAAAAACCGAAGGAAUCAAUGUCGGUUAAUUUCCUCGCCAACCAUCAUUACUCUUGAGUGGAAAUCGUGAGUAUAAGGCACUUGCAUGUUUAUUUUCUGGUUAGCUAUUUCCUUUGCCUUUUUGUUUUCAUGCUUUUGAGGAAGUAAAAACGUCAACUUCAUGUAUGAAUAAACCAAAUGUUCAUUUUUUUGGUUUAAUUCAAGGAGAAAAUAUGUUCAUUUUUACCAAAAUGUCAUAUCUUUUUUAAGUAAUUAUUGAUCAUUCUAGAGUGUAAAUCAAUGUUAUUCAGGCUUAGUGGACUAAUUUGAUUACCCAAUGCUGCUAUUUGCUGACUCAAAGAUAAUUUUUUACGGUAAUAUGGUUUUGUUGGAAAUUGCAUUACAUUCCCCAUUUGAUGAAAAUAUAAAUUCAUAAUAAGACAAAAAGAAAUUUAAUAAAUAAAAAAUAUUAAAAUUAUACAAAAAAUAAAAAAUAAAUUAAAGGAAUAUAUAUAUAUAUAUAUAUAUAUAUAUAUAUAUAUAUAUAUAUAUAUAUAUAUAUAUAUAGAAAAUAGAUUUGGGUAUUGGGCGGAAUCAAUUUAUACAUAUCCCAAAGUGAUCCCGUCCAAAUUAUUCCCAAAACACGUAUGGGUAAGGUUGAACCCAAACCCAUAUGAUCCGAUUCCAUCUCAAACCCAAGCAAAUCCUGCCUAUCUCGUCCAUUUUGCCACCUCUAUAUUCUUCUUCUUCUUCUUUUUGUUCUGCUUUCGUUGGUUUGAAAUAUUCAUCCACCGUGUCUGCCUUUCUAUCAAGUUGCUUCUGCUUCAUUUUAGCUUUUUCUUUUCAAUGGCGAAAUGCACUAGAUAUUGAAUAAUCAUCGUCAGAAAUGCUCAUUUACGACAUUUUCUACAUCCUUGCGUCCAAUAAUUCUUUCCUGCCUGAGAAAAGUCAUCCACAGUGCAUUUGACGACCCAGCUAAUUCAAUAAUUGGAGACGUCAUGCAAAUUCUUUCCCCCCCACUCGAUCUUGAUCUAAUGGUUGUUUCGCGACAGUAUCCAUAUUGGCCUACUGGUGGCAGCUAUAGAUGACAAACCAACCCACUUAACUAAAUUUACCCAUACCCGUCCAUGAAUAGAUGAGUAUGGGUAUUUUAAAUUUUUAUAGAUGGAUAUAAAUGGGUUACCCAAUAAUACCCAUUAAAUGGGUAUUAUUGGGUAACCCAUCAAACCCAAUUAACCCAUUUAGAAUUCUCUUCCCCCAAGUCUCUUCUCUUCCCUCACCCUUUUUUUUCCAAAUUUUUCAUUUUGUCAUGAUAUUAACUACUUUUGUUUCAUUAUUAUUAUUAUUAUUUUAUUUUCUCUUAGUUUGUUAACUUGCUUAUUUUUUAGCAUUACCAAUUUAUGAUAAAUUUUAGCCUCUUUUCUUAUCCUUCUAAAAUGAAAUUUUAAAUUUAUAUAUGAAAAAAAUGUUAGGGGUUCAAAAUUUUUGGAUUAAGGUUUUAUAUUAACUUUUAUAGUACUUAGUUCAAAUUUUUUUUAUUCUUAUUAUUCAAUUAUUAAAUAAUAUGUAAUUUUACGACAUAUAGUAUAAAUGAAAAAAAAUUGGUAAUUAGGUUUAUUGAACAUUAUAAGUAAAUAUUUAAAAUUAAUAAUGGGUACAACGAGCGGUAUAAAUUGAUAACUAAGUUUGCAAAAAAUAAAUUUAAAUGAGUUUACAAAAAAUAAAAAUAAAUGGGUUAUAAAGGGGUAAUUGGGUUACCCAAUUCAUUUUUUGACUUACCCAUUUAUACCCAUCUAAUUAAAUUGGUAAAAAUGGGUUGACUCACUUAUACCCAUUACCCAUUUUACCCAACUCAAACCCGUCCAAAUCACUCAUUUUGACACCUCUAGUGGCAGCCCUCUUUGCAGCAAAUAUGUUGCGAAGCAAUAACCAUGGACAUAUCUAAUUUGAUGUAAAACUAAUCAGUAGAAUUAUGGGAGGCCUUUGUGUAAAACAAGAAAUUCUUGCAAAAUAGAAUCUAAAGAAAGAAUUAAAGGAGAAAAUAUACUCCUUGUUUGCUUGCUAACUAAUUCCAACUUAAAUUUAAAAUAUAAUUUUAUACACUGUCAGCAUAAAUAGAUAAAUCUAUAUUUAAAAGAUUAAAAAAAAAAUAAACCGCAUAAGCAUGAUUGAUCUUCACUUGCAUUCCUUAAAUAAUUGAGGGACGCUCAUCAUAAUAAUAGAUGGAGCAUUUUGAAUAAGAGUUGGUACUGUCAUAUAAGAAUCAAUUUCCACUUUCGUAGUGUUGUAGAUUAAUCACAUCAAAUGACAACUUAUUUCUCCCCAGUCAAUGAUCAUAUAUUCCCACCAUCAAAAGGGUGCAGGGCACACAUUUGCUCCGUGGCCCAUGUAUUUGUUCAGUUUGUGCUAUGACACAAUCUUUAGAUUUUUUUUUCAUUGCAGGUGAGAUUCGAACCCUCACCUACAGGCCAAGGAGGGACUUAAGUUCCUCCCUGGUGGCUACUGAGCCAUUGGCCCAGUGAUUUUGUUCAGUUUCCAUUAUUUUCUUUCAGACCACGUUCUAAUUUCUUUGCUCAUAAAUUUUCUGUAUAUUCUGUAGAACAACAACGAACUUUGAUCACAGGUUUUACACCAAGCCUUCCUAGUUCCUGGCAUCAUUCUUCGAUAUCACCAAGCCUGGACUGACUAUAAGUACCAAGCCCGAUACCGUUUGACCGUAAGCUUCAUUUUUCUUCAAAUUCUUUUCUUCAUCAAAUUUUGCAAAUUCUAUUGAAUUCUGUUAAAAUUCGUCACAUAUGGUCGUUACGAUCAUCUCUUUUUUUUUUUUUUUUUUUCCUUUUGCUUUCAGAAAAAGGUGGAAUUUUAUUAUGAUCGUCGAUUAAGUGUUACAAGCGGAAACCUCAAUUAAAUCAAGAACUAAUAUUCAACUAAUACACUACUAAGCUAACACUCAGCCAAUUCCCGAUUAUCCUUCGUGCCCCCCUAAGUUCUAAUCAUCUUUAACGUUUCAAUAUUGUAAAUUAGAUAAAUUGGAGGUGAAAUUGGUGUAACUCAAAUUCGUAUCAACUUCGAAUUUUGGUUUUCAAACUCUUAAUUCUUGGAAUGAAUUGAAUUCUGAUUCCCAUCAUAAACUUCUUUUUUCGCUGUUGAUAUGAUGAUUUUAAUGGAAUUGAUAUUGGAUUUAUACACGAUUGCAAAAAGGUUAAACUAAUAUUACGAAUAAUAAUGAUGAGAGUGAGGGAAAAAUUAUUAUUUAAUAGUGUGGUUUUUUUACCAAUUUCUAUCUUGUUGUUUCAAAUGUUAUGUGCUGACUGCUCUCAUUUUUUUUAAAAGUUUAAAUAUUCUUUAUUCCUUUUUUUCCAUUUUCCUUCUUUUUUCCCCCUUCUGAAAGUUCAAUUCCGUUUGAAUUGGGACUCAAAAUGCUAUCCUAUUAGGCCUAUGUAUUAAUUACCAAAAAAGGGUAAAUUACACGUACUUUUCAUGAUUUAGUGUUUUAUUAUAUAACACCCUAUGUUUUAAAAGCAUAUAUAUCACUUUCUCAUGGUUUGGAUUAAAAGUGUCACUGUUAGUUUUUUCAUAAUAGUAAAUAAUAAAAAGUCAAAGUCAAACUAAUAAAUUGAGAAAUUCACCCUUUCACUAUUUUUUUUCUUUUUUUCCUUUUCUAUCUCUCUUUUUUUUUUUGGAAAGAAAAGAGAUGAUUUUGAAAACCUACACUUUGACUUACAAAAUUUUAAUUUUCUUCAAAUACAAAAGAGAUGGAAGGGAACAAAAACAUAAAUAAGAAACAAAAAAAAGAAGGAAGGGAAAUAUAAAACAAAUAUAUAAGAAACAAAAAAUAUCAAAUCUUUUUUUACUACAAAUAUCAUUAUAUAUUUUAAAACCAAAUCUUUAAUCAAAUUUUCUAGUUCUUAUUAUUUAUUUUUAUUUCAAUUUCUUCUUUUUUAUGUUUGAAGGAAAAAAAAAAGAAAUAAGAAAAGGGUAAAUUAUCAAUUUAUUAGUUUGACUUAAACUUUUUACUAUUAACCAUUCGUUAGUUUUAACGGAAAAACAAACGGUGACACUUUAACCCAAGAGGGGAUUAUAUAUAGAUAUUUAAAUCAUAUAGGGGGUUACGUGAUAAAAUAUCAAAUUAUAAGCAUAAAAGGUAAAUUUAACUAAACAGUCAAAAGUCAAAAUUCGCAUGUUGGACAACUUUCGGCAGCUUAAAAGUCAAAACCCAAAUUAGUGGUUGACAACUUUGGCUGCCAAUUCCUAUUUUAACUAAACCCAUAUUGAUUAAACAAAAACAUCAAAUGAAGCCACACCAAAUGAACUGGUCUGCUGCUGUUCAUGUUCUUUCUUUCUUUCUUUGAGCUUGGCUUUUCCCAAACAAAAUUAUUGCUGGUCUCUCUCUCUCGUUGGUUUCCUUGUGCAAGUGGCUUUCACUUUUACCUCUGCAUGGAUAUAUGGCUGCUGCCUUAGUGGGAUGCUCAUUCCUCUCCGCUUUCCUUCAAGUGCUAUAACUAUUUGAUAGGAUGGCUAUUCCUGAAUUCCUGACAAGUCAAUUUAACAAGUUUUAUACUGAAUUUAAAAUUCAUAAAAAAUCAAUAUCAAUAAAGAAAAUAUAAAAAUAUACGAAAAAAUUAUGUGAAAGGCAAAAAAAAAAAAAAAAAAAGUUCCCUGAUUUUUUUGUUUUCUUUUUUUUUUUUGUCUGAAAGUUCAUUUUCAUUUAAAUAGAGACUUAAAACGCUAACCUAUGCGUCUGUGUUAAUUGGCCAAAAUUUUUUUUUGUCAAAAGUCAAAAUCCCUGGUUAGUGUAUGACAGGUUGAGAACUAUGGCUGCCACUUCCUUUUUAACUAAUUCAUUAUAAUUAACUAAAGCCACACCUAAUGAACUGGUGUUCAUGUUCUUUCUUUGAGCUUGACUUUCCCAAACAAAAUUGACUAUUCUCAUUUAUUGCAGGUGUCUGUCUCUCGUUGUUUUCAUUGUGCAAGUUUCUUUCAUUUUAUCUUCGCCUGGAGAUAUGGCCGCUGCCGUAGUGGGAGGCUCAUUCCUCUCCGCUUUCCUUCAAGUGCUAUUCGAUAGGAUGGCUAUGCCGGAAUUCGUGAAUUUGUUUCGUAAUCCGAAGACCGAUGUUGCUCUCCUCCUCAAGAAGCUCGAGAGUGAGUUUCGCACUGCUGGAGCCGUGCUCGAUGAUGCAGAGAACAAGGAAAUACCGAAGGGAUAUGUCAACGACUGGCUUGAGGAGCUUCGUGAUACAUUUUAUCAAGCAGAGGAUUUACUGGACAGAAUGAACACUGAAGCCCUGCGAAUUAAGGUCGAAAUUGAGUACGAAAGCUCUACCAGCACUUGUACAUCUUCGGGUGAUGAAUUCCUUAAGAAGAUUAAGCCUGAGAUUGAAACGAUAGUGGAGAGGCUGAAGGGAUAUAACAAACAAAUUAGUCCCUUGGGUUUGCAAGUUGGUCAUUCCAGAAUAGAGUCACAUCAAAAAUUUGAAACAGCUUUGGUUGACGAGACUACUAUUUUUGGGAGAGAUGCUGAUAAAGAGAGGAUAAUUCAAAAGUUGCUGUCUGAGGAUGCAAAUGGAGACAAUUUCACCGUGGUUCCAAUAGUUGGAAUGGGUGGGCUUGGCAAGACCACCUUGGCCCAAAUAGUUUACAAAGAUUCGAGGGUGGCAGAGAGUUUCCCUGCCAGGGCAUGGGUCUGUGUAUCAGAAGAAUAUGAUGCUACAAGGAUAACAAAAGAACUCCUAAGGGAACUCAGUAUUUCUUUUGACAAGGAUGAGAAAUUGUUUUCCCUUCAAGGAAAGCUACAAGUUGGUCUAGCCAAUAAAAAGUUCCUUCUUGUUCUGGAUGAUGUUUGGAAUGAUAACUACAAUGAGUGGAAAAAAUUAAGGACCCCUUUCAAAGGUGGAUCACGUGGAAGUAAGAUCAUUGUUACAACACGGGAUCAGAAUGUUGCAAUGAUGAUGGCCAACGAAAGGUCAAUUCAUCAUUUGGAUUCCAUGCUAGAGGAAGAUUGCCGGUCUUUAUUUAAGAAGCAUGCGUUUGAAAAUAGAGAUGGCAAUGAAAAUGCAGAACUUGAAGAAAUAGGAAACCAAAUUGUGAAGAAGUGUCGAGGGUUGCCUUUGGCUGUGAUAACAGUUGCAGGUGUUUUGCGCUCUAAAACAACCCCCAAAGAAUGGAAAGAGAUUUUGACAAGUGAAGAGUGGACUCAAAUGGAUAUUCCAGGUGGCCCCAUGCCAGCAUUGAGAUUAAGCUACAUUCAUCUUCCUUCCUAUCUUAAAAGGUGCUUUGCUUAUUGUGCUGUGUUUCCCAAAGAUUACCAGUUUAGAAACGAGGAAAUUAUUCAGUUAUGGCAAGCUAAUGAUCUUUUAGAGUACCCUGGAGAAAAUAAAAGAAUUGAAAACAAGGGUGAGAAGUUCAUUCAUGAACUGAGAAUGAGGUCAUUAUUUCAUCAGUCAACUGACCAUACUUUCUCCAUGCAUGACCUUGUCAACGAUCUGGCUAGAUUUUUCUUUGGGAAAUACUGCCUUAGGCUUGAAGAUCAUCAGGAAGGCAAUGCUACAAUAUCUGGUGCAAGACAUUUUUCAUACCAUCCUAGUUGGUAUGACACAUUUCACAAAUUUAAUCUCUUGAGUCAGACUAAGAAUAUAAGGACAUUCUUGCCAUUGAGAACGGAUUCUAUGAUUCGUCUAAGCAACAAAUUCUUUGAGGAUGCCUUGCCCCAAUUCAUGUCUUUAAGGGUUCUAUCUUUGUCCUAUUAUGAGAAUAUUGUGAAGUUACCAAAGUCAUAUAGUGGUUUGAAACAACUUCGAUUUCUGAAUCUCUCUGAAACAGGAAUAAAGGUGCUGCCGGACUGGAUAUGUAGUUUCUAUAAUCUACAAACUUUGUUGCUGUCAAAUUGCAGACAACUUGAAGAGUUGCCAAAAAAUUUGGGAAAGUUAAUUAACUUAUGUUGCCUGGAUAUUAGUGGAACUCCAUUGAAGAAAAUGCCACCACAAAUGGGUAGACUGAUAAACCUUCAAGUCUUGACAAAUUUUGUCAUAGGGAAGAACAGUGGUUCGACGAUUAAGGAGUUGGGCAAGCUUCCUAUGCUACGUGGUGAGCUAAUCCUCUCCGGGCUAGAAAAUGUUUCUGCUGGUAUGGAUGCAUCAAUGGCGAACAUGGAAGGCAAGGAACACCUUGAAAGGUUAACCCUGCAGUGGAAUGGCGGGACAACAUUUCCAGAUUGGCUAGGCAACUCUUCUUUCAGCAGUUUGGAAUCCUUGAGUCUAUCUGGGUGUAAAUAUUGCCACUCCUUGCCUACACUCGGGCAGCUACAGUCCUUGCAAUCACUUGCAAUUGUGGGAAUGAGUUGUAUACCAGUCUUGACACAAGAUUUUUAUGGAGACAUCAAUGUAACCAAACCAUUCCCAUCUCUGAAAAAUUUGACAAUCGGGUGGUUGCCACAGUGGAAGAGUUGGUACAUACCAGAGGGUGAAGUCUUCAAUGGACUUGAACGACUCAGGAUAAGUGAUUGUCCCAAAUUGAUUGGAGAACUUCCCCAACAACUUCCAUCACUGCAAAGCCUUGAGAUAUCUGGCUGCGACAAUCUUGUGUGGGACAAUGGUCAAUUGAGCAUCCUGAAUGGAGAGAAUCAACAAAAUUUUUCAUCUCUUCAUCAAUUGAAGAUUUCAAAGCUAGAAAAUUUGAAAGAGUUGCCCCUACAGCUCAACCAAUUAUCCAAGCUUAAGAAAUUGAAUAUUUCAGAGCUAGAAAAUUUGGAGGAGUUGCCCCUACAGCUCAACCAAUUAUCCCGACUUAAGAAACUGACGAUUCAUGAUUGUCGGUCUCUCUGCCCCUCGCACAUGAGUAGACUGCCUGCCUCACUUAAAUCACUGGAGUACAUGGGUUGCAAAUUGGAAUUGGAGGGUGGUGGGGCCUUGGAGUACUUGGUAUUAGGCGGUUGUGACCUCAAAGUCAAAGCCGAGUGGCUUGCCUCGUUCCCUAUGCUAAAACGUCUUGAAAUUAGGUACUGCAGGAGUGUUGAGAAUCAGAGUGGUAUAACUACUACUACUACUACUAGUGUGAUGACGUCACUUCAAUCCUUAGACGUCUACGGCUACGAUGAUCUAUUAAUGUCUUUUUCAGAGGGAGGAUUGGCAGCCCCCAAUCUAACGACGAUUAGCAUUAGGGAUGGCAACGGGGCGGGGUUGGGGCGGGGGACCCCUCCCCCGUCCCCCGCCCCGUUGCCUAUUAGUUCCCCCCGUCCCCCGCCCCGUCCCCCGCCUCCCGCUCCCCCCGCCCCGCCCCGCCCCGCCUUGCCCCGCUUCCCCCGCGGGGGCACCCGCGGGGGUUAAUAAAAUUUUAUUAUAAAAUUUUAUUAUAAUUAAAUUUUAAUAAAUAAUCAACUACUAAAAUAUCAACACAUCACCAAAUUAUUAUUCAUUGUAAUUUUACAAUUGAAACUCAUAAAAACAAUCAAACAGAAGUUAUUUGAAUACAAUCCAAUAUGAUAAAUAAAUAUAACUAAAAUAGUCAAAUUUUCACUUUUAGUACAAAUGCAAUCACUAAUUCAUCAUUGUGUUUGUGCUUUUUUUUGAGAAAAAAGUGUUAUUCUAUUAAGUGUAAUUAGAAAUUUAGUAUAAAUGUAUUAGUAAAUUUAGUAUAACUAAUUAAUAAAUUCUAUUAGUAGACAUGUAUAAUUAUUCAUAUAAUUGAUAAUAUCAAUUAUAUUACAUAAACUAAUAUACAUUAUAUAAUACAUCUAACUAAUAAUAUCAUUAUCAUAAGUUUAUAACUAAUUAACUUACAUAUAAUAUAUAGUCAUUUAUAUAUAUAUAUAUAUAUAUUUUUUUUUGCGGGUGGCGGGGCGGGGGAUGGGGCGGGGGAGUAUACCCCCGCCCCCCGCCCCGUUUCUAAGCGGGGGGAAUUUCCCCCGCCCCACCCCCCGCCCCAACCCCCGCCCCGUGAGCCCCCCGCGGGCACCCGCCCCCAUUGCCAUCCCUAAUUAGCAUCCGCGAUUGCAAGAAGCUCACGUCGCUGCCGAAACAGAUGGAGUCCCUCCUCCCAUCUCUUCGACGUCUGCAUUUAAACAAUUGUCCCAAAAUUGAGUGCUUCCCGGAAGGGGGUUUGCCCUCCAGCCUACAAUCCCUUGUCAUCUACGGUUGCAAGAAGCUCAUGAGUCGUAGGAGAGAGUGGGGUUUGGAGAAACUUCCCUUUUUCACGCUCUUGAGGAUUUCUGAUAGUGAUGAAGAGUCGUUUCCAGAGGAGGAUUGGCUGUUGCCUUGCACGCUUCGAACACUCUGUUUGAGCUUCCUUAAGAAUCUGAAAGUGCUAAACUAUUCGGCUCUUCGACACCUCACCUCUCUUGAAGAUCUACACAUCUCUGAUUGCCCUCGACUCCAGUCCCUACCGGAAGCGGGACUGCCCGCCUCCCUCACCAGACUACAUAUUGGGAAUUGCCCACUGUUGGAACCAAGGUUAGAAUGGGAGAAAGGACCGGACUGGCCCAAGGUUGCCCGCAUCCCCUGCGUAGUAGUCGAGGGUGAACUAGUUCCUUGAUGGUGACGCUGGUUGCUGGUGAGGACCUGCCUCCCAGAGUUACAAGACCCUCAUCAUCAUCGAUUCAUAUAAUUAGAGGUACUUCUUUGCUUUUCAAUUUUUUUCUUUUCUUCAUAUUUUUUAUUCUCUCCAAAUACUCUGAAGCCUCGAAAGGCAAAAUCACAACUAAUUAAUGCAUCUUUUGUUGUGAUUGCAGUGCGAAUUGCCUGUUGUGAAUAACUAGGAUGUGCUGAAAGGACAGUUGAGGUAGUGGCCAUUACUGAUGCAACAAUCUCAUAAUAUAUUACUUUCUAGCUAUAGAUUUCACCAUUGUAUUUCUUUUUCAAUUUUUUUUUUAAAAUAAGAGUCCAUGCUUUGGUACAUUUCUGCUCUGUAGAUUCCAAUCAAGUAGGCCACCAACUCAGGCAGACAAAUGCUUUCCUCGGUAACUGUGCAACUGCUGAUGAAGAAAAAAAACCUUCAAUUUUCUAUAAGGUAUCUACGAUUAUUAGACUCUUCUUAAACUCGCUAAGUGUUUUCUGUGAUUUCUUUGAUGCACUCAAUAAUUUCCUGUUUGAAGCUAUGACCUCAUUUUGCCUGAGUUGUUAAUGUGUUCGUUUUACAAUCCUUUAAUUCUGCUUUGAAGUAUAAUAAAAGACAAUUUGCUUCUUCUAAGGAGCAUUUAUGAAGUGCUCUAAUCUUUUCAAAAUUUGAUGCAGGAAUUGCUCUCUUCCAGUCUAGGUGAAACAUCUUUCUUAGUCCUCGAAGGUUGCUUUCAUCUUUAGCCAUUGAAGAUUGGGGCUAGUGACAUCCCUUUUUAUGCUGGAGACCAAGAACUACUAAUUGCUGACAUUAUGUUUGGAGUAGAGAAGAAGAAGAUUGGCACAAGGUAGCACAUAUUUCAAGGAUGUCAACAAUAAACUUAUUUUAUGAUCAGCUAUUCACUUUCAAUUUAAAUUAUUUUCUUCUUUUUUCUCUACAUAAUGCAAUUUGUUGUAUUUGAGUAUGCUUGCUUGACUUCAAGAUCUAUGCUUUCUCUAUGCUACAGUCAUGGGAACUUUUAAAAAUGUUUGAACACUACAAAGUACAAUGUAAUGCAAAUAUAUCGCAAGUUUUAGUCAACUCUAAUUAGAGGAACUGUUAGACACCCUGUCUAUAUGAGUAUUUUUCUCCUGACGAGAUCAUUGAAGUUUUUCUUUUCUAUUUUUUGGGGUCAAUUCCUAAAUUUCUUAAUUUCUUUCUGCACCAUUAUGCGACUGCAGGACAUUUUUCCUAAGAUGUCAUGAAGUUAAAUGCUUCCAUCUGAUUAUGCCUUCUUUAAACUAUUUUUGUGCUUUCUUUUAUCUUUUAUGUACAAUUUGAGGUUUACUAUUUAAUUGAACAAUUUUUGUUGUUAAUAUGCAGGUAACCUCUACAUAUCUUUUAGCUUCCUCAAUUUUCCAUGCAGCAAAUAGACCACUCUGGAAAACCAUCAACCUGAACAUCACAAGCUGAAAUCUGUCAUGCAUUUAUUGGGGCUCAACAUCAUGCUCUUAUCAUUCCUCACGUUAAGGCUUGGAUUUCAGAUCCAGAAUUGUCGUGGCCCCUUCUAAAUAUAGUCUAGACUUGGGUGCUUUAUGUUGGUUGGGGAUGCUAAGCACCAGUUUAGAAUUUAGAGUAGAAGGAAUAUCAAAGGCACCAUUGCUAUCUAGACAUUAUUUGUUUUCUGAUUCUAAAUAGAUGAAGAUUUCAGUAAAUUGAUUUUCAGAUUGCAAGAUGGGGUAACAAGAAAGAAAAAAAAGGAUCAAAUGGCUGGAAUGCAUAUUUGUGUUUCUUGAUCUCAGUCUUAUCGACUCCUUGUGUUUGUCGGAGUACUGUGUAAGUUUUGAGCGACACAUGAUCCUUCUGCACAAAGAGGGUAUGAACUUUAGAUGAGUACCUUUCUUCUUUUGCCACUAAUCAUCAAUCAUUCUAAUGAUAGUUUCUUGAGAAUCCUAAAACAAUUAAACUUCAGUUGACUUAUUUUAGCCCAUGGUAAUUAGAAAAAUAAAGUAAGCAAUGCAUACCAAAAUCUAAUUUUUCUGGAUGUAGAAAGACCUAGUUGAAGUGUGUUCUUGGAUGCCUUUUUCCUUCAUAAGCUUUUUCCUGCAUGAGAACAAAUGACUACACUCUGCCUCUUUGGUUUGCAUUUGCAUUUUCUUUUUUCUUACCAUUUCUGGUAUAGCUUGUUUAAUAAUUUAUAUGCUGCAUGAUCGAUCUUUAGUCCUCUGCUCCACCUUACUGAUGUUUUCAUAUAUACCAUAUCCAACAAGAUAUUCUAGGUAUGUUGUACUCUGUGUUGGUUGUAAAUAUUU
rnacentral:lncRNA from 1 species